rnacentral:lncRNA from 1 species
AAAUACAAGGACAAGUUCCUCUCAUUCUCGGCCCGCUCGAAGGACAAGGCCCUCAGUCCAGUUAGCAACUCAGCCAACACGACCCCGAAGCUAUAGACAUCGCUCUUCUCAGUCAACUGGCUCGAGCAGAGGUACUCGGGGUCCAAGUACCCAAGCGUGCCUUGAACCAGCGUGGUCAGCUGUGUGCCGUCGAGGGGGACUAGCCUGGAGGCUCCAAAAUCAGCGACCUUUGCGGUGUAGUUUUCAUCCAACAAUAUGUUUGCGCUCUUUAUGUCUCUGUGCAAAAUCUGAGCGGAUGCAUCGGAGUGCAAGUACGAGAGCGCACCUGCGGUCUCCCCUGCAAUGCGCAGACGAGCCCUCCAGGAUAAUGUGGACUCGUGGCCGCACUUGUGUAUGUGGUCAGAAAGGGUGCCGUUGGCCACAAACUCGUAGACUAAUAACGGGACCUCCGUCUCGAAGCAACAACCGAUUAGCUUAACCACAUUGCGGUGAUUAAUUUGGGAGAGGAUGAUCAGCUCGUUGAUGAAUUCUUCAACCUGACUUCGGUCCAAAAUCUUGGCCUUCUUGAUGGCGACAACCGUGUUGUCUGCUAAGAUCCCUCGGUAUACAGUUCCGUGGCCUCCCUGGCCUAGGAUUCGGCUUUCAUGGUAGUGGUCCGUGGCCUUCUUGAGCUCUUCAUCGGUGAAUAUUCUCGCCGAUUCAAUGGAGCCUUCGCGCUCAGAAAGAAUUUUCUGCAACAUAAGGCGGCCCCCAUUUUCUUGGAAGAACUUCUCUCUCCGUCUGCUGAUUUUUCUUUCUCGAAGCCCCCAAUAUAACCAGGAAACGCCCAAAAGAACCAGCAGAAAGCUUAUGCUCACGCCUAGUAAAAGACAUUAUAUUCGGUGAACAAACAAAUUACUUGUCCAUCACACUACAUAUGUUCUCACAACCAAGAAAAGAAAAAAAACAGAAUCGAAAUUUGCUUGACUCUUUCUUUUUCAUUACUCAAACAAUCUUGUGUUAAUUUACUUCUCUGUCCUAUUUUCUUUUUCUUCUCCAUCAACUUGAAGCUUUUUCAUUAAGAAAAACCUUGAUAAUAGCAAAAUAAAUCUAAAUAUAUAAUUAUGCUGAGAGUAACUUAUGAUAACAGGAACGAUUCAAUGCAUCAAGUGGAUAAAACGUGCUUGAUUCUUUUUCAACAACAGAAGAGCAAGUGGUUGAUUUUGUUAAUAUCGAAUUGAAUAACUUGAGAUGACGACACAUGUAUAUAAUAUCAAUUUAAUUCACGGACACAAUUAAUUCAAAGAGAAAGAUUUACAUCCGAAAAACCUCAAUAACUAAUAGCAAAAGAUGGAACAAUGGCAUAACAACAACAUUUAAAGAACGUGAAUAAAUUACAAGAUAAAAGAAGCUUUUAUAUGAUGAAAAAGUUUGAGCAAUGUGUACGACUUACUGACUAGCACGAUGUCCAGUGAGCGAAACCUCUUUGUAGGAGUACAACCGUUGCCAUCUUUUUUUCCAUCUCCUCGAGAUCCCUUCAGACAUGAACAAUUAUACGUUCCCGGCAAAUUCGUACAUAUUCCAAUGCAGGGUUGUAAAAUCACACAUUCAUCGAUAUCUGGAGGAAUAUAUUCCAAAUGGAAUAAGUAAUCCGACACCAUUUCAAUUGGAAGAAAGUUGAAAAAGUAAAUAGAAUUCCAUGAUUUGGCAACACUUUCAAUAUGAGAGGACAUAUCAAGUUAAUUUGCUUUUCCUGAGAUCGUGAUACCUCACCACACUUUUUAAGUGAUAGGUCAUUAUCUCAAGAGCCUAAGCGUAACCAAGCAUUUGAUCUUUGUUUAGAAUAGAAGAUUUAAGAAUUAUCCAACAAAAUUGUGCCAUUACUAAUUAGAAUAACACAUUACAUGGAAAAAAAUUCAAAAAUAAUUGUCUAUAAAUACAGAAUAAUGCUGGAUGUUUUAACAUCGGUAGAUGAAAUUGAUUUAGAAGCUAACUUUACCGAUUCAUAUUGAGGGUUCGGUAUGGACCAUCUGUUUAUAAACUCAAUUGCACUUGACUGAUUCAGUUUGUAAAACAAUUGUACGGAUUAAACUUAAGAGAGAAGAAUGUCUAGCUAUAUCUGGAAUGAUAGCUGUGAAAAUUUACAGAUUAUUACUAAGCACUUCAUAGGUCAUAUUUAAUUUCAAGCAAUGAAAAUUCGUGCAUCUGAAAGGAAAAAAAAUAUGAUUGUGUUUAACAGCCUAGAUUGUUAUGAUUUUUAAGAUUAUAAAUGUUAUGUGAUUACUAGGAGAAUCGUUUGAAACACGUACCAUUCAUCAAGUCAAAAUUUGGUCCUCUGACUUGAAGUUUCUAAGAAUUUCUUUCUCUGGGUUUUUUAUGCAAUUGGAUCCAUUUAACAUGGUCGCCCUUAUGCAAAUAAUGAUCCACGAUUCUAUACAGGAGCACUCGUUCGGAUGUGAGGUGGGUCCAAUGAAAAGACGGGAAAAGGUACCUUGACAACCAUUUUGGAGAUACGGGUUCCCUUGAAAACCCUUCAAGCAGUGGCACUGGUAGCCAUUUCCAUUCUCAGCAUCUGUACAAUUGGAGCUCUCUGGGCACAUGUAGGUCGUUGCAUUCUUCUUUGCAUCAUCGCAUGUUUGAUUUGGAAUUAACCAAUCGACAACUAGAGGGACCAUAUCAAAUGGCGGCUCGCGCAGAUUGUCCGUAGAGAAGCUAAAGAAACCGUCUUGGGCAACGAAAGCGUAUCCGCACGGAUUGAAAUCAGAGACGCCGAGAUGAUUGUUGUAGCUAGUGACAGAGAUGUUGUAUUGGUAGGCGUCUCGAGGAAUGCCAGCCUCGCAGCAACCGAUGCCCGAGCACGACCCAUUAAUCACGUCCAAGAUGUUGUCGCAUGAGGACACGCACCCCGUCACAUACGUGUUUCCUUGUCGGCCGCUGAAGGUCGCGUACGUGUCGCAUCCCACGGCGAUAAAUUUGUUCUUGGCAGAAGAUAUUGGGAAUAUGGGAAGAGCGAACUCAGGAAGAUUCUUGUAUAUGGAUGUGCCGGACGAAUUAUAACAAUCGUUGGCUACAAAUACCGUUACACUAAUCUCGUGACUCUCCAUAGAUAUAUCAAGUACUCGGAAAUCAGAAUCUUUACUGUACAUAUGAGGAGUGGGAGGAUCAGUCGAGUCGUUGCAAAAGAUGAGGAAAGACUCUGAUUCUUCUUUGAAGUAGCAGUCGUUGCCGGCAUCAUUCAUCCCGAAUGGGUACGCGAAGGUGAGGUUGCCACAUCUGUUCGCGCAUCCGGGCUUUGUUGUUUGGACUACAUCCGCAGUAACUACUGAGAAUAGAGCUACCAAUGAGCACAACAACAGCACAACUCUCAAGGGAAGUCUAUGGAGCAGCAUGGAUCCACCCAUAUUCUUCCUGAAAUGAGAUGAUAUUUUGCAACAAGAUGAUGAGCUUCAUAGCCCGAUGACAACCUUUAUAAGCGAUGAUGGAGCUUCUAGAAAGCUAAGGAGUAUAUGCAUUAUUCAUGGUCCCCACUAUAUUGAUUGUCUUCGCGCUGAUUACAUCAUUACUAAUCCAUCAUACGGUUUUGUCCACUCUCUAUGGCUCUUCACUAAAGAAGCCUUGACAAGCCUGUCGUGAUUCACAUUGUGGCGUCGCAAUCAUUCGUAGGAAUUUCCAAACUGACUUGCAAAUAAUAAAAGUCGUGAUUAGAUAGAUAUUUUUUUCUUUUCAAUCUCAGAAUUAGUUUCGAUGGGUGGUACUCAUAAACUAUUGCAUGCACAUCUCUAAUGUAUGAACUCCUUAAAUAUUUGUACAAAUAUCAACAUCGUAUUUAAAUCUUUAUGCGCAGAGUAAUAUUUCAAUUUAUGCUAUGUACAAUUAAAAAAAAAAGUAGGUACAUCGAUGGUAAGUACUAAAGAUUAGUUAGAUAAAGCAAGAAAUUGUUGAUUUGGGUCGAUUCGAAUUUGAAUUUGAAAAUCAAAACAGCACCGAACAACCCAAAUAUAGAAGAUGAAUGAGAACGAAAUUUGCGGUGUUUAGAUAUGAUUUGCUAAGUAAAAGGACUUCAAGAGUCCGAAAUUUAUUUUGAGAAUUUUCUCAAAUCUUCAAUUGUGCUAAUUAAAACUCAAACCUUUUGAAAGUUUACCAAUUUAAUUUUUUUUGUUCAAACUUGACCAAAAAUCACUAUAGUAUAUAAUUUUUAUAAUUUUUGGGAAAAGGCUAAGUCAAGGCGGUCAGUUUGCUUGGCAAUUUCUCAUGUGCAACAAUAUAUCUUGUCCGGAGUUAUUGCCAACCAACUUUGGGUGCAUCAUUGAUAGAGAGUAUAAAUGAGACGAGAUGCUUACUGCACCAAGACUUGAAAAGCUAAGCAAGUACUAAGCGUAUGCAAUGGGAGAUCACAACUAGAAGUGAUCAAUUCUCGGAUGAUUUGGUUCCCACCCCAAAAUCGAGAAUUGGACCAAAAGGAUUGAUUCUUUGUUUCUAAAACCAUGAAACCGGACAAGUGCCCCUGAAACCGAACCAACCAAUCUGGUUCAUUUCCUACGUGGAUCAUGGAACCGGUGGCGUGUUCAAUUUUUUUAUUUUUUUUUAUUUGUCAUUAAUGUUCAAGACGAAUUGAAGAUGUUCUUGAUAACCAAGAUGUUUCUACAAUCAGUGAGUUAUGUGUAGCAUUGUAGGUCUCACAUAAUUUUUUUCCAAUUUGUGGCAAAAUUUGGUUAGAAUGAGCAACUAUUGUUUAUGUUUUGAUUUGUUCUUGUCAUCUUACUCACAUGCAUGAGUGAAAUAGGAGUCGUGCGACUCGUGCUUGUUUGUAUGUGUGAGUGAAGUCUAAAAUGUGAGAUAGAUUAGGGUUUUUUUACAAAUUAUAAGGAAAUUAAAAAAAAAAAUUGAUCUAACCCAGGUGAGCAGUUCCACACCUGAAACUAAUAAUCGGACUGAAAUUCACUAGUUUCAAUUGUAUAGAGUUGAGAACUAGAUUGGUGCCCCCAGGAACUGUCCAAAACUGGUUGAUCUAGUCCCAUCCAAGUGGAUCCUUUUGCUUAUCCCUAAUCAUAACUUUAAAAUAGAAGAAUGCCGAAGAAGAAAAAUCAUGAAGAGCAAACUGCUUUGAGCUGGCGAUUGGUGAUGGUCGGUUCCAUUUCAAUUUGAAAUCUGAAAAGAACAAAAACUAACCAACCUAUAUAUAGCAGAAGAACGAAAUCUGCAAUGUCCAAAUCUACAGAAUAGAAAACAUAAUCCUCAAUCAAAUUACAUUUUCCAAUUCAAAGUAAAACCACAGAUAUGGUCUGAGAUUUGAUCAUUGCUAAGUAAAAGGACUUGGGGAGUCUGAAAUUGAUUUUUAAAAAAUUCUGAUGGUUGAUCGAAAGUCCCAGGUAAAUGCCAAGUCAAUGGGGUCGGUUUCCUCGACAAUUUCUUAUGUAGCACAAUAGGUCACAUCAGAAUUUGUUAUUGCCCGCCAACUUUGACUGUGUCAUUGAUAAAUGCAAGGUGCUUUCAUUACAUUGCCAAGACUUGAGAAGUCUAGCAAAUCAACGGUAAGCGUAUGCAGUGAGGGAGAGAUCACAACCCCCAAAACAAGAGAAUGACAAAGAAGAAAAAUCAACAAGAGCAGAGUGGUUUGAGCUGAGGAUUGUCUACAUGAAAUGAGCUUCAAGGUGGAUGGAUUUUAUAAUCUGAAAAUUUGUAUUUUCCUGUUUCUAGACUGUAUAUAUGCAUUCUAAAAAGGAGUAACUGGUAGCUUCAAAAUAAUUAAUCAACUAACUUCAAAGAGGUAAAAUAUCGACUUUUUUAAUUGUUGUGUUACAAAAAUAAGAUGCUGAAAUAAGAUUCCGUUAUGUACUUUUAAACUAAGAAAAGAUACGUCGCAUGUGGAUAUUUUUUUCCUUUUUCUAGGCUAACAUUCCAACUAAUAUGGAUUGUGAAGAGAAAAAUGUCCAAAUAAUCCUAAACCUAUUGCACUUUUGUCAAUUUAAUCCUAAACUUUUCAAUUUUGUCAAUUGAGUCAUAAAUAUUUUCACAUUUUGCAAAUUCAAUCCUAAACCUUUUCACUUCUUACCAAUUGAGUCCAUUCAACCAAUUUUGGCUAGAAAUUGCUAACGUGGACGACCGGUGCUAACGUGGUACUUUUAAAUAAUAUUUUUAAAUAUUUUUUAUGGUUUUUUUACUACUUUUUUUUUUUGGUUUUGGAUCUAGUCGGCAAAGGUUGUCAACCAACCCUUGUCAGCCACAAGCGAGGGCCAGCGAGCGAGAGCCGACCAACCCUCACCGGCUCUGGGCAAGGGCGCACAAGCCCUCGCCUAGAAAUAGCGAGGCCUGUGAUGCCCUCACCAAAUCUAGCAAGGCGAGGGCUUGGUGACCCUCGCUCGCUCCAAGCAAGGGGGUGACCUUGCGUAGGGCCUUUGCCUAGCUAGAUCUAGCGAGGGCGAUGACCUCACUCGAGGCCUUUGCUUGGCAUGCCCUCACCUUCGCUGGCGAGGGUGUUGCGACCCUCGCCCAAAGCUCGCGAAGGGCACAAUGCCCUCGCCCAAAGUUGGUGAGGGUCGACUGGCCCUCACCUAUGGCUAGUGAGGGUCGCCGACCCUUGCCUAUGACCGAUGUUGGCCCUCGCCUAUGGCCAAGGCCAGCCAAAUCCAAACCCAAAAAAAAAAAAAGCAAAAAAAAGUUAAAAAAGAAAAAUCACUAAAAAAAAUUCAAAAUAUUAUUAAAAUAUUAUUUAAAAAGUGCCACAUCAGCACUGGCCAUCUACGUUAGCAAUUUCCAGCCAAUUUGGCUGGAUAGAUUGAAUUGAUAAGAAGUGAAAAUAUUUAUGAUUGAAUUAGCAUAAUUAAAAUAUUUAUGACUGAAUUGGUAAAAGUGCAAUAGGUUGAAGACUUUUUGGAUAAUUUUCCCGAUUGUAGUUGAUGCGCAUUUGUGGAGAAUUAUCAUCAUCAAGAAUUUAAUUUUUCUUUUCCUUUUUCUGGUCCAGUGACUGUAGUUAUUAGCUUAUUUCAAGCUGUGGAGUUAACAACGGCAAGUCCUGGAGACUUUCGUGAGACGAUUCCACUACAAAUCCUUGUGUGACAAAGUCUUUGUGCGGUGCGGUGCGCGUUUAAAUUUUCCAAAUGCACGAUUUAUUUGACAUAUAUUUCUUCAAUCUUUCGUCGCUGCUCAUCCAAAAAAACAGGCCAUUGUGGGCCAGAGACUGGUGAACAAUUGUCCUAGAAGAACUGCUCUUACUUUCCAAAUAAUCCGUGGGAAACAGAAAGUCUUGGUCUUCUCCUUUCCCAAUCGAUUUUUAUAGUAUGGUACAUUGGGGAUGUUACUUCUGCGCAUGGCAAAUUUUUUCUUUCGGGGCGUUGAUUAAUGCAAAAAUUGAAAGUUUAUAGCGAAAGGAGAUGAACUAACCUCUCUCUUUCAUGAAGAAAGAGACUUCUUGUUUAACUCUAUAUUUGAACAAUUCCAAAACUUAAUAAAGCACCUUAACCCUCAGUCGUCGGGCAGCAAUUAUCAAUGAAAAAGGCACACUAGUUCGUAAAUUUCAUCAGUUAACUUAUAGUAAGGUAUAAUUAUCUUUAGCAAUGUCUCUACAAAUCUUUAGAAUUCUUUGGAGAGACUAACUGAAAAUCCUAGCCGCCGACGUAAUUGGACGAUGCAUUGAGAGAUGAUGUGCAUCCAAAGUCAAUAACUUAUUAAUGAGGGCUUUGACGCUCUCCAUCAUAAGCAUCUACAAACUUUUCAAACGGGUUCUUUGCCAACUAAUAAGCUAAGUACCCUUGUUGUAACGACCCGGGCCCCAUUAUGUAAUAUUAUCAACUUUGGAUACUAAGUCAUCAUGACUUUAAAAGUCGUCGUCCCCCAACCCAAUAUUGUCCGCUUUGGAGGCAUGCACGCAGCAACCUCCUCCUCACGGGUUUAUUUUCAGCGCAACGGAAGCAUACGUGAAACGCGUCAUACAGAUUAAAGGAACCUAAGCCUUAUAAACUAGCCCCAGGACUCCCCCCCUAAGCGAUGUGGGACAAGAGACACACCCCGCGCUUGGGCCGUCAAUUAGAUAUAACAAAUGUGACUAUCCAUCAACAAAUUAACCUAGCCUAAACCGGUCAACCUACCCUAGCAAAAAACUAUUGAUUCAAGUCGGUUCCGUUUCGAUUUGAAAUCUGAAAAGAACAAAAACUAACCAACCUAUAUAUAGCAGAAGAACAAAAUCUGCAGUGUCCAAAUCUACACAAUAGAAAACAUAAUCCUCAAAUCAAAUUACAUUUUCCAAUUCAAAGUAAAACCACAGAUAUGGUCCGAGAUCUGAUCAUUGCUAACUAAAAGGACUUUGGGAGUCUAAAAUUGAUUUUCAAAAAUUUCUGAUGGUCGACCUAAAGUUCCAGGUAAAGCCAAGUCAAUGGGGUUGGUUUCCUCGACAAUUUCUUAUGUAGCACAAUAGGUCACAUCAGAAUUUGUUAUUGCCCGCCAACUUUGACUGUGUCAUUGAUAAAUGCAAGGUGCUUUCAUUACAUUGCCAAGACUUGAGAAGUCUAGCAAAUCAACGGUAAGCGUAUGCAGUGAGGGAGAGAUCACAACCCCAAAACAAGAGAAUGACAAAGAGGAAAAAUCAACAAGAGCAGAGUGGUUUGAGCUGGGGAUUGUCUGCAUGAAAUGUGUUUCAAGGUGGAUGGAUUUUAUAAUCUGAAAAUUUGUAUUUUCUUGUUUCUAGACUGUAUAUAUGCAUUCUAAAAAGGAGUAACUGGUAGCUUCAAAAUAAUUAAUCAACUAGCUUCAAAGAGGUAAAAUAUUGACUUUUUUAAUUGUUGUGUUACAAAAUUAAGAUGUUGAAAUAAGAUUUCGUUAUGUACUUUUAAGCUAAGAAAAGAUACGUCGCAUGUGGAUUUUUUUUUCGUUUUUCUAGGCUAACAUUUCCAACUAAUGUGGAUUGUGAAGGGAACAUUGUCCAAAUAGUCCUAAACCUAUUGUACUUUUAUAAAUUUAGUCUUAAACUUUUCAAUUUUGCCAAUUGAGUCAUAAACAUUUUCACAUUUUGCAAAUUCAAUCCUAAACCUUUUCACUUCUUGCCAAUUGAGUCCAUUCAACCAAUUUUGGCUAAAAAUUGUUGACGUGGAUGACCGGCGCUAACGUGGCACUUUUUUAAAUAAUAUUUUUUAAAUAUUUUUUUAUGAUUUUUUACUUUUUUUUUUUUUUUUGGUUUUGGAUCUAGUUGGCAAAGGUUGUUGGCCAACCCUCGCCAGCCACAAGCGAGGGCCAGCGAGCGAGAGUCAACCAACCCUCACCAGCUCUGGGCGAGGGAGCACAAGCCCUCGCCUAGAAAUAGCGAGGCCUGUGACGCCCUCACCAAAUCUAGCAAGGCGAGGGCUUGGUGACCCUCGCUAGCUCCAAGCAAGGGGGGUGACCUCGCUCAGGGCCUUUGCCUAGCUAGAUUUAGCAAGGGCGAUGACCUCGCUCGAGGCCUUUGCCUGGCAUGCCCUCACCUUCGCUGACGAGGGCGUCGCGACCCUCACCCAAAGCUUGCGAAGGGCACAACGCCCUCGCCCAAAGUUGGCGAGGGUCGACUGGCCCUCGCCUAUAGCUAGUGAGGGUCGCCGACCCUUGCCUAUGACCAAUGCUGGCCCUCACCUAUGGUUGAGGCCAGCCAAAUAUGAACCCAAAAAAAAAAAAAAAAAAAAAAAGUUAAAAAAGAAAAAUCAUUAAAAAAAAUCAAAAUAUUAUUAAAAUAUUAUUUAAAAAGUGACUCGUCAGCAUCGGCCAUCAACGUUAGCAAUUUCCAACCAAAAUUGACAAGAUAGAUUGAAUUGAUAAGAAGUGAAAAGAUUUAUGAUUGAAUUAGCAAAAUUGAAAUGUUUAUGAUUGAAUUAGUAAAAGUGCAAUAAGUUGAAGACUUUUUGGAUAAUUUUCCCGAUUGUGGUUGAUAUGCAUUCGUGGAGAAUUAUCAUCAUCAAGAAUAAAAAAAAAAAUUUCCUUUUUCUGGUCCAGUGACUGUAGUUAUUAGCUUAUUUUAAGCUGUGGAGUUAACAAUGGCAGGUCCUGGAGACUUUCAUGAGACGAUUCCACUACAAAUCCUUGUGUGACGAAGUCUUUGUGCGGUGCGGUGCGCAUUUAAAUUUUCCAAAUGCACGAUUUAUUUGACAUAUAUUUCUUCAAUCUUUCGUUGCUGCUCAUCCGAACAAAACAGGCCAUUGUGGGCAGAGACUGGUGCACAAUUGUCACAGAAGAGCUGUUCUUACUUUCCAAAAAAUCCGUGGGAAACAAACAGUCUUGGUCUUCUCCUUUCCCAAUCGAUUUUUAUAGUAUGGUACAUUGGGGAUGUUACUUCUGCGCAUGGCAAAUUUUUUCUUUCGGGGCGUUGAUUAAUGCAAAAAGUGAAAGUUGAUUAGCGAAAGGAGAAGACCUAACCUCUCUCUUUCAUGAAGAAAGAGACUUCUUGUUUAACUCUAUAUUUGAACAAUUCCAAAACUUAAUAAAUGCACCUUAACUCUCGGUCGUCGGGCAGCAAUUAUCAAUGAAAAAGGCACACUCGUUCGUAAAUUUCAUUAGUUAAUUUACAGUAAGGUAUAAUUAUCUUUAGCAAUGUCUCUCUACAAAUCUUUAGAAUUCUUUGGAGAGACUAAUUGAAAAUCCCAGCCGCCGACGUAAUUGGAUGAUGCAUUGAGAGAUGAUGUGCAUCCAAAGUCAAUAACUUAUUAAUGAGGGCUUUGACGCUCUCCAUCAUAAGCAUCUACAAACUUUUCAAACGGGUUCUUUGCCAACUAAUAAGCUAAGUACCCUUGUCAAAUUUCCAAUAGAAAUCUGGCCGCAGGAAAUUUUUUCAACACCGACAAAUUGACGCAUGAUGCCUACAUGGGCAGGUCGAAUUACUUUGAUAAUCUAAAUCUAUCAGUAAGAAAAUCGACAUUAUUUGAAGUCUUUCCUUGGGCAAUAGUAAAAUUGUAUCAGUUGGUAAUAGAGCCUAAAUCUGGCUAGUCUAGCCGAUUUGAGAAGGCAAGUACAACAUCUCCAACAAGAAUUGGAGCAAUCUUGAUUGUUAAGGCCUGACAAUCCCUACCCUGACCAAAAAGAAGAGAUUAACACCUUCCAUGAUGUUUAUUUUUUAUGCAACUUGUGAAGUGGCUCCUUUGCAUCACUAGUGUUGGAAUCGUGAUUCUAAUGAUUUGGAUGUUAAAGUAGACAUUUCAAACUUCCAAAGCACUAUGCAUCGAAAGACUUCGUAGAUUGGCUUGACAAAAUCGAGCAAGUUUUUGAUUAUGAGAAUAUAGUGUUGAUUCGAAAGGUGAAGCUUGUGGCCAUCAAGCUUAGAAAGGCAUGCUUUGAUUUGGUGGGAAAUCUAAAGUGUCAAAGAACUCGUGAAGGAAAGCAGUGUGUCGAAACAUUGGAUAAAACGAAGGAGCUCGGGAGGAAGCAUAUCUCAGAAACAGAAAAUUGUCCAAAAAGUCCUAGAUCUAUUGUACAACGGCUUAUUUAGCUCUAAACAUUUCAAUUGUGCUAAUUUAAUCCUAAAUCUUUUAAGAACUUAUUGAUAUAGUUUUAAACCUUUUAGUUGUGCUGAUUGUCGCGACCAAAUUUUCGGGUGUGAACCACCUAGGGGUUUAGCUAAUGGAUUGUUAAGCCUACACUUAACUCGGGCUCUCCUAAGCUCAUACAAAUUCACGACUUAAGUUCAAAUUUCUUAACAUGCAAAUGGAUUUUAUUUAGAAGUCGUCACUAAUCAGUUUCCAAUGGGUCGAUUAGACACCUAAGUAAAAUAAUGGAAGGAUUAUUUUACUCCUACGAACCAGAGACUUUGGAUACGGCGACUUAGUUACAUUAGACUUCUCUAAUGCCCUUUCGGUACCAUUUCUUUAUAUUUUCAAAAACAUUUUUGCAAGCAGUUUGGAUUGAUUUUAAAUCUAUUUCCCUAAAAUGUGAGGUGAUCAUGUGGGUGCACAGACCACUAAUUUAACACUCAAGUAAAGCAAUAAAUAAAUUGCAAGACUUACCUCAGGGCAAUGAAAACAUCCGCGUUGUUAUAUUAGAAUUCACAUUAACAGUCCUAGAUAUGAUUUCUAAUUAACACGCAAUCAUUCAAAUUUUUUUUUUUGAUGACCCGGGGAAUCCCGUAAGCUGACAGCCGGCGGGCAAACCCUGGGGCGACGCUAGCGGAGGACCCACCACCCCGACGUCGCACUUAAGAUCCCAUGUGGCCAGCGGGAUUCGAACUUCUCUCAUUCUCGCAAAGGAUCAUAGGAGCCUUAUCCAACUGAGCCACCACAAGCGGUGGUUCAAUCACUCAAUUUUUGUUUUCACUUUUUUAAUAAGAAUCAUGCAAUGUUACUAAUCUAGCAUGCAAUGAUAUGACAUGGUAAUAUGACCUAAAAUAUAUGAAUGAGUAAAACGACUUCCAAAGAAAUGCAAUAAAUAUGCAAUCUAAAUUUAUCAAAUGACCUAACUCUAAUGACAAGGAAGUUCUAAUUAAACGAACCUAGCAAUCACUAAAUGACAUGCAUUUUAUUAACCUAAUUCUAUAUGACAUGCACAUGAUUUUUAUUUUCCUAAAAAUGCAAUCUAUUCUAGAGAAUGAAAUGAAUUUAUUCAUAGACAAUUUUUUUUGUAUUUUUCAUGAAAUUCAAAAUUAAGAAAAAUGCAAAAAUACCUAUCUAGAUUAAGACUCUAUCCAGCUUAUAUUAAGGAUCAGGUCAGACUAAAUCCUAAUUUAAACUACGAUAUUAUCUUCUUCUUCUUUUUGGUAACCCAAGAAAGUCUUGUGCGCCACUUCGUGAUGGAGUAAACCUUGGAGGAGCAGUAGAGUCACCACCACCCUUACUACCCCGGGUAAGUUGCUUGACGACGCCGUGAAUCGAACUUUGGACCUCUCGUGAAAGGAACCAGUGCCCAACUAGCGAUGCCGCCACCACGGGUGGUUAAAUUACGAUAUUAUCUUAACCUAGCAAUCUCUAACCUAAGAUGCAAUUUAUCUAAAAAUCAAUUUAAACUCAAAAUGAGACAUGCAAUAUUAUCCAAUAUGCAGUGACGUACAAAAAAUGUCAUAAUUCUACGUGAUAUAUGCAAAAUGAUUUUUUUUUGUGUUUUUUUAAUUCGAAAUUAAAAUUGCCAAAUAAUUAAACAUGCAAAUUUAAAUUAAAAUAAGGCAAAUAAAUAAAAGAAAAACUACCUAAAUUGAUUUUUGCUUUUUUUCUUUUUCACCCUUUUCACCCACGGCUUGGCAGCUUUGUGGGGGAGUCACCGGGGGGUGGGUCGCUGGCGUUCGGAGCUCCGGCAAGCACCGGCGACUGGUGGACCGGCGGAGACGGCGACCAGCAGCAAAGCAGACCGGCAGUGGGCUCCGGUGGCGUCGGGCAGUAGCAGGAGGCGAAAACUGCAGGUGCGUCGGGUCACGGCUGCUGAGGCGAAGGUCGACGGCUGAGCAGCGACGUUGGUGCGGUAGCUCGGGCUGUGGAUCUCGGGUUAUCGGAUGAAGUGGCGACCGGCUCGAGCUCGGUUCUGCAAGGUCGACGGCGGAGGGCGCUGCAGCAAGGGAGGUCGAGCGACGGUGACGCAACAGGCGAUGUUGGGCACUGGACUGAGCAGGAGCAGAUCUUCGGCGAAGGCAGGAACUGCCUUGGGCGCUGAGCGGAGCAGCAGGCCGCAGCGGCGGUGGCUGGCGGCGGUCACUCAAGCACAGGAGCGGAAGCCGGCAGAGGGCGAGCUGCUGCUGCGGGACCGGCUGCACGAGUGACGGGGGGGCGUUCGCGGGAUGCGGCGGCGUUGCGGAGGCGGUCUGCUGGCGUCGGUGACGGACGUGGCCGGCGAAGGGAUCGAGUAGCAAGGGACGCCGGCAAAAGAAUUCUCUGAAGAAGACGAACGGCUGUUUUUCCUUUUCUUUUCCUUUUUUUCUUCUGCGCACGUCUGGUGGUCAAACGUCUCCUCCCUCUGUCCCUGUUCUCUCUGCGCUCUCUGCUCUUCUGCUGCCUUUUUGCUUUUUCUUUGCUUCUGUUCCUCUUCGAAGGAAGAAAAGACCGGAGGGGCUUUUUCUCUCUUUUUAUUGUGUUUUUUUUUUUUUAGGUAAGAGGUAAGAAUAUAAAAGCUCGAAACCACUUUACAAAACACGGCGCCAGGAACAAUCACUCAAAGAACACAACGUUAAUGAGUGAAAGAGAGCGGGUGUAAAAGAAAAGAAAGAAGCUAGAAAGGCAAAACAAGCAAACUAGAAAACCAACACAGGGAACAACCCUCCGUGGCCGAGCAGAGAAGCAUGCGGGACGAGAGAGAGUUGAGCAGAACUGAGGCACGAGAAAGACGAAGCACCGAGCUAGGUACUGGAGGCGCCCAUAAAAAUGGAGGGGUCGAAACCCCACGAUCGCUGAAGUCUCCUCUUUUUAUUGUGUUGAUCUUUCUUUUUCUCGAGAGGAAAACGAAAGCCCCUAUGCCGUGAAAACUAAGUGGCCGUGUAUUUCUAUUGUGUGGCUCUCUCAAAAUUGUAUGCGUAUUAAUCUAUUUAUAGGUCACGGAUUAUGAUUUUUAAUUUUCCAAAAUCAUAUUCACAAAAAUUUCUUUUCUAAACAUAAUAUUUGCCUUUCCAAACGCAACAUUUUCUUUUGAAUUGAGAUCUCACAAAGAUAAAUCCGUAAAAUCUCUCCAAUGAUACAGGCUUGGGCCAAUUUGCUCUCUUCAUGGACUUAGCCCGACUCAUCAAAUUAAAGUUUCUGAAGCAUCAAUUCGAACCCAUCCGUCACCGGCUCAAUGUAAAUGCAAAUUAAAAAUAAAUAUUUUUUCAGGGAUACAAUUAACCCAUAAUUUUUUAAUACAAUAAAUGACUAAACGGGUUGCCAAAAUUUAGGUGUUAAUACUGAUUUAGUCCUAAACAUUAUGAUGAUUUGUUAAGUUAAUUCUAAAUAUUUUGACUGCUUGCCCAUUUAGUUAUUUCGACCAUUUUUGGUUGAAAAUCGCUAAUGUGGAUGUCGGCCAACCACCAGCCAUCAUAUAUGGCAUGGCCAAUGCUAACGUGGACAAAUUUUGCAAUUUUGAUACCUGUUUUAAUGGUAUUCAACAAUUAGCAUAUUCCAAUAUUGAUACCUGUUUUAAUGGUAACUUUGAUCAAUGUAUUUGGGUCGUAAGAGUCAUGUUAUUUUACAUAUAAAGGAUAUGGAGGUAGAGUUUCGUUGUUUCACGUAUAAAGGAAACAAGUUUUGGCAGAUAUAUUAAAACUAUCGUGUGCACGAAGAGAGACAUUUUAUUGUAAUUUUGAAAGGAUGUAUUUUUUGGGAAUUCAAAAGGUGGAAAUUGUGAAGGGCAUAAUUGAAGGAGGAAAAGUCAGGGAGCACCCUUUCGAGCUUCACAUAUUUACAUAGAUUAGAUAAAUAAUAUGCAACCACAAUCCAUCAUUUCACAAUGUUGAAGUGAGAAGCCUACACCAAAAUAGUAUCACGACAAAUUAAAAUUAGUAUGUCUUUUCUCAUAUGCAGUUGGCUUCAUCUCAUCAUUUAAAACUUAUGCUCCACAAUAUUUCUUAUUCGCAGGGCACCGAUAUGAUUCAGGCCAUUUGUCUCGAAGAACAUGACUCCAAAAGAAGCUACACAGGUGAAAACUUUAAAGGACUGACCAACUUGAGGUUCCUUAAAGUAUGUGGUGCAAAUUUCACUGGAGAUUUCAAGAACAUGCUUAGUGAACUUGGAUGGCUUCAUUGGGAGCGUUGUCCCUCGAAUUUUGUAGCGGCCAACUUUCAUCCGAAGCAAUUAGUUGUGCUCAAUCUGUCAAGGAGUGAGAUUUCAGAGGAUUGGAGAGGAUGGGGUCCAAUCAAGGUAAGAUUUAAAGAAGGCAUAUCUUUUAUGAAUAAUCACAUGUUAUCCAAGGGUCAAUUGCACAAAUUCUCCUUUCUUUCUUUCGGAAAAGGUUAAUAUCCUUUUUUAGAUUCAGGAUUUUCCUUUAUAUAGAAGAGGUUUUCAUAGGCACCUAAAUAUACCAGAAACUUCCGCCCCUUAGAAUCUUAAACUAAUGGUAUCCUGACAACCAAUCAUGCGUAACAUUUGGCAUACCUUUUCAACUAAUCUAUUAAGGAUAUAGUUAUAGUAUUUGUGCGUGUCCUAAUUUUUUUUGAACUAAAUGGUUUGUUGCUCUAAGACAAUUUCUCCCCUUGUAAAAGUAUGUCUGUAUGGCGAUUCUUGUUAUAUUUCUAUGUUAAUCUUCCUACACGAGAAAUGAAAAGUUACAACUGCUUUUGCACGAAAUACCAUUUGAAUUAUCGUAGAUAGGAUAAUUAUUUUAGAAACAAAAGUUGACCCCACUACUUCAAAAUAAGUGCAUUACUUUAUUAUAGUUUUAUGAGGGCGAACUAAAUGUUAUUUUUGUGAGUGCUAACCGGUUGGUAUUUAUUUCAGUCAAAUUGGAAGGUAAGCCUAAUACAAUAAGAAAAUAUAGUUAGCACUUGUGUAUUACUAACAUUCUUUAUGCAAUGGGUAUGUUAAAAAAACACUACUACUUAAGAAACAUUUAAACAAAACAAACGUGAAGCAAAGGAGAAUCAUAGCAAUGACAGCAUGCGAACCGAGUUAUGAAAAAUCAAGGAUAGUGAAAAAUCAGGUAUUGCAACGUCUAAUCUUAGAGGUAACCUCUCUUUCUUUCAGAUGGCAGCAAAGCUCAAAGUUCUCAACCUUUCGAGUUGUCCAUUUUUAAGAACUCUUGACUUGUCUACUUUCGAAAGCUUGGAGAUUUUGAUUCUUGAAAAAUGUGAGAAUUUGGAAGAGAUUCAUCCUUCUACCAGGGAUAGCAAAUCCCUCAUCUCCUUGAAUGUCAGUGGUUGUAGGAGACUAGAGAAGCUACCCAUUGGAGUUGGUAAAUUGGAAGAAUUGAAGGAGUUUCUCAUAAACGAUACUGCUGUACAGGAGAUUCCGAUGUCAGGAGAUGGAUUGAUGAAGUUGGAGACUCUAAAUGCCUUGUGUUGUGGGAGAUUGGAAAAGCUACCUGCAGGAGUAGGUAGAAUGGAAAAUUUGAGGGAGCUUCUCAUAAAUGAUACUUCUAUACGAAAUAUUCCGAUGUCGGGAAGGGGUUUGAAGAAGCUAAAAACUCUAAGUAACUCGGGUUGCAGGAGUCUAGAGAAGCUUUCGACUGGAGUAGAUAGCAUGCACGAAUUGAGGGAGCUUCUCAUAAAUGACAUUGCUAUACAAGAGAUUCCAAUAAGUAAAUGUGGUUUGCAAAAGCUAGAGACUCUAUGUGCCUCAUAUUGUGAAGACCUUGCUCAACUUCCAAUACAUGUGGCCCCCCUUAAGUCAUUAACUAAGCUAGACCUAUCUCAUUCUGGGAUUGAAGAAUUACCUUAUACCAUUUCCUUUAAUGAGUCUUUAAUUCAAUUGGACCUAUCUUAUUCAUGGAUUGAAAAAUUACCCACUUUCUACUACAAGCUUUCCCCGUUAACUCAGUUGGACCUAUCUCAUUCAGGGAUUAGACAAUUUCCAAAUUUCGAGGGCUACAUGCGGUCGUUAACUCAAUUGGACCUAUCUCAUACAGGGAUUGAAGAAUUACCAAAAUCCAUGGACUCCCUUAAGGCGUUAACCCAUUUAAACUUAUCUUAUUUAGGGAUUAAACAGUUACCCCAAUCCAUGGGAGACCUCAUGUCUCUACAACACCUGUUAUUACAAGGAUGCUACUUGUUAAGACACUUACUUGAUUCGAUUGAAAGAUUGACAUCAUUGACUAAGUUGGAUUUGCAAUCUACAGGAAUUGUGGGGUUACCCCACGGAAUGCGGAAUAUGAAGAAUUUAAAGAUCUUGGACAUUUGUGGAACUAACAUAACAAGAUUGCCUGAUCGAUUCAGUUUUGCCCUACCCGACCUCAAGAUUAGUUGGGAACAAAUGUGAUGUCAUAUGUCUAAUUAAUUCAGAUCACAUUAUGUUACUCUACGUCUAGAUUUGCAAGCUUCGAUAUCGUGAUGUUGUAUUAGUUGAUUCAUAGUUUUUGAAUGAUUCUUCAGUAUGAUUAAAUUAGAACAGAUCACGUCUCGGAUCACUUGAAGAUUAUGUCAUACUGCUUACUUUUUGAAUCGCCUCUAGGUCAGGUCUCUCGUGUAACUACGUGUGAGUGGGGUUGAUUAGAAGAUUGAUCACAUUAUGAUUUUCUUGCUGGACUAAAAAUAAGGAAUAGGGGCAUUGCGAGUUUUCAAAGCAAAGAGAAGAAUUGAGACUCGAAGAGCACUUUCGGCCGAAUUCAUUCGAGAAUCAACUGAAUUUGUUUGUACCCAGCGUCUAAACCUCAAAAUCCGGACAGCUAUGUUUCAGCGUGUAACCUCAGUAUCUGUGCAUAAACAUCGACUCCGACAUGUGAAAUACAUUGACGAUAGAUGAACCAUUAGAAACGACUCUUAUGAUGAGAGGAGAUCAGUGUCCCAUCACACAAAUCCUGUGUAUGCUCUUCGCGAAUUCCAUGGAUAAUUCGCACGAUUACCUGUGAAAAAAUGAGAUUUCUGGAAGGCCGGAAAUAGUAGCAACAGAAGUUUCGAUCAAGAGAAUGUGUCAAACACAGCAUGGAGCUCAUGACAGGUGAGUCCCCUGAAAAUUAACAAUCGUUCCUCAUAUUUUCCCAACACAGUUCCCUGAUAUUUCGGAGAUGAUUCUCUGCCGACCCGUUUGCUUUUUUUUCCCUCAUUACAGGAUGGCUGCAGAGGUUCCCUUUAACAUCCCAGGCAUCUCUGCUAGACGAUCUUCUGGGGGGUCAUUUGGGUCUUGGAGCAAGUUGAUGAUGAGGAUGCUGAGAUGGCUUUGAAUGGAAGGGUUUUGUAGGAAGAGUGCUCGAGUCGAGCCGCGUAGCUUAUGUUUAAAGGAAAGCCUGGGCUGGCACUAGUGAGAUUACCAUUGUGAAGAUGACAAAAACAGGAAAGAAAACAGAGAAGAUGAAGAAACAAAGCUGACAAAGAUGAAGAAUCGAAAAAAUGAUCUUGAGCUUCUGUAUUCAGUCUUUUUAGAGAGAGAGAGAGAGAGAGAGAGAGAGAGAGAGAGAGAGAGGAAUUUUAUAAAGUGUAUUCUACAACAGUUCUUCGCACAAUUCAGUAUUUAUAUGUGAGCGAACAACAAACUUGUUCAACUGAAUUAACAGAAAUGAAAACAGACCAAGGGAAAAUAACAGAACAAGGAAAGUAUUCAGUUUUGACUUAAAACUGAAUAUCUGUUAUUUAAUGAGAACGUGUUGUUGAUGUAAAUCAUGCUUUCUUUGUUCUGCUUUUCUUUAUCCUCACAAGUAGAGCUGAAUUUGCCGUUUCCAGCCUUGAUUGAAUCAUUAGCACCAACAUUUGUUACUGCAUUUCCCAAAUCAGCAGUCUGCCUCGCUUUACUUCCCCUGUUUGCACCAGAACUUAACUCCCGAAUAUCAAUAUCUAACUUCGGCUUCAACUUGAACUCCUUUACUUUAUUUCCCUUGUUUCCAUCCGAGCUUAGCUCUUGACUAACAACAUUUAUCUUCGACUUUGACUUAUAUGCUUUAACAACCAUAACCCCUCAAAUUCAAAGGAUAUACAGUUGGGAAGGGAGGCAUUCCAGCCCAACAUGCUCCCAUCCUCGCCUUGCAUAGAUCAUGCCGAAAUGAAAAUCGAAGUAACAUGCCCGCCCGCACAGGAUGAGGAUACUGGUGGUGGGCCAAUGCCGGACCAAUGCUUUUGGCGGCGGCAGCAGUGGCGUUCCAUGGUCUUCAAGCAGGGCAUCGGCUUCCAUCCAUCCCAAUUGCGGGUGCGGUUUGGUCUGGAUUGUGGAUUGCUUCUUCAUGCCCCAGGCGAUGCCAAAAAAUGGCUUCGUGAUCGAUGGAGCCGACCUCCCAUGGCCGUUGCUAUGGAGUUCACCGGGCUCAUGUGAUCAUAGAUCUCCAUUGGAAUGAAUCGACAGAGGUGAGAGAUACAAUUUACACGCACAGGCCAUCUUUGAAAUGGAGGAAUCUAUACCCAUCCUCCCCAACUAUUCCUGGGUUAUAAAUUUUGGGGAUGAACUUGGUAGGAGAGAGGCAAUUCACACCAGCAACAUGAAUCUGCGAUGUUGAGAGGGAGGUGAAUCUACGUACGAGCUUGUUGGCGUUGAUGGUGAGUGAGAAGACCAAGAACCAAGAAGACACGAACCGCCGACGAAGAAGAAGAAGAGAGGGGAGAAGGGAUCUCCAUUCAGUUCCCGAGAGAGAGAGAGAGAGAGAGAGAGAGCGCAAGAAUGGUGGCGAGAAUGAGAGCGAGGCUGUCAUGUGAGUAAAAGAUGAAACCUUUAGAUACGUUUUCUUGGCUCAUGAGAUUAGUUCCAGCAUAAGCACUACCGGACAGAGUGGCAGAUUCAUGUUGCUGGUGUGAGAAACUGUGGAACUCUUCCUCAAAAUGGAUGCUCUCCAUCUGGUAUGCACUGGACUAUUAUAUGCGCGCGCAUGCUAGUCACUUUUUCUGUUGCCUCUGUUUUCUGUGGUCGAUUUAACAGCUAUAUCUCCCUUUUAUUAUGAAUCAUUCUGUAAUUCCAUCUCGCUUGUGUGGAUAUAUAGAAAGUUGUUUGACUGAAUUCUGAUUCCUAGUGACAUAGAUCGGUUUAGCUAAAAUCAAGUGCAUUCGGCUGCCUUGCCCUGUUGCUUCCUUUGAUAUUUCAUCUUAUUGCUAUCUUUGUGUGCAACUUGUCCAUUUGUUUGUCUUACCUAGCAUCAUAAGUGGAGAAGUUUUUUGUGUCGUACCUGCUGCUGUUGGAGCUGUAUUUGGUUGCUUUUGAUUGCUGAUUAGGAGGAAUUCGUGUUUGCUAGAAAUUUAAUGGGUUUAUGAACCCAAUACGGAAAAGAAAGUUACUUUCAUCUGACGAAUUACUUGAGCUUUUAUGGUAUAGUCACAUGAGCAUAUAGGUGCCAACGAUUGCAUGAGUUCUGAGCUUGUAAAAGGCUAACUGCAGGAUAUCUGAUCUGAUCACUCAUGGCAGAUAAUAAAGAAUAAAAGAAAAAGUUCUCGCUCAUCUGACAGGAUUGUUUACAACUGGUACAAACAUGAAUUUUGGUGCAGCUAAGAAGAUGAGAACAAUGAAUAAAUCCCAGUCACAGAGAGUAACAAUGAUGGACUUCCUGUAUUUGAAUGAAUUUCCCGGGGUUGCCAAUAUCAACAGAGGUUCUUAGUUAACAUUGCUUGCUUUAUGCUGGAUUCGGUUGAAGCAAGUUUGUACUCUCUGCUUUCUCUCUCUCUCUCUCUCUCUCUCUCUCUCUCUGUUGGAUAACUUUAUAGCUCAUGGAUGUGGGACUUCUUUCUAGCACUCGUGAGAUAACCACACAUUAAAUUUCAUAAGAAGGAUGGCUUAUUACUCCCAACUUGAUCUUGUAGUCCAGGGAUGAAUCACUUCUAGGCUAAGGAGUAGCUUGAAGUUCAGAAUGAUGACUCGCAGCAUGUACUUUUGUUUUUUACUUGCAGCAUGUACUUUCCAAGCACGAAGUCAUUGCUUCUGGAACUUCAGUUCAGUUAGAGAAAACCUGGCCAAGAUCUUCUGGCUCCACACCAAAUGUCAAAGGUCCUCUACUUGAUUUUAGAGAUAACAGCAAAGAGCCUAAUGAGAGCUAACUGGUUCAUAAGUCAUGAUUCCUAUAUAUAAACCCCAAAUACUUGUUAUGUAGCAAGAUAUGAAGUUCAGCUAAGUCCUGUUAACUGUCACAUUGCUAUUCUCAUGAUAAGUUGACCUGCAUAUUGUUUGCUAAUUUUCAGCUGUUUAGUAUAGAUUUCAUAGUUUUAUUCAGGAUAGUGGUGUCUUCUUGGGGCAUAGUUAAAGGAGUUCAUCAUCUAUGUUUCUACUUUGUUUGGUGUAGCUUUUUCACAGUAGAUGCAGCUGUCAAAAAGUGUUUCUCAACUUUUAUGGGCUGUUUGGCAAAUUCUUCACAGCUGCAGCACCCUCAAAUCUGCAGCAGUCAUAACAGUUUCUAGAACCGUGCCUCACCCAGCUUUUCAUUGCGAAUGUGCUUGUGUUAUUGUUGCGGUUUUUGAAGCAAUAUAGUAAUCAUAAGGUGUUGAUCCCACUUUGGCUCUGAGGAAAUGUUUGGUAGCGGUGAAAUAGAUACAUUUAAUUAAUACCAGUAUAAGGGCACAGACAUAUGUAAGUGCGAGAAGAAGUAGAAGGAAAAAGGAUCUAGUAAGUGGUUAUCAGCUAUUAAGGAGAUGAAAGAAUGGUGAAGAAAGUGGAUAAAUGGUUAUUUAAGAAAAGAUAAGAGGGGUAUUUGCUCUUGUUCAACAAUUAUGGUGACCUUAUGACUAUAAAAAACUGAACUUCUCACAAAGAGCAAUUUAUGGGAUAUUACAGUUCAAUUUGAUAUUUAAAAGCUGCUCACAAGUUUUUAGCGAAUGUAGAGAUAUAACAAAAGGUUCUAUGUGGGUGUCUUUUCGAUUUCGAGGUUCAAUGCCUUGGGAUGCUUAUGUCAGGAAAUAGUUACUCAAAGAGUUCCUUAAUGUAUUUGAAGAUCCAUGUUCUGUUGUCGCCUAGAACAGUAGAUAUGAGAAGCAGAAGCCAGUCAAACAAGAAUCAUGAGCCACCCGAAGCAGUCUAAUAGUUUUGAAUGCUGAAAAAGGUCCAGAGUAUGAGAAUAUGCUUGUAAUAAUUUGGGAAAUUUUUUAUUAUGCUAAUCCUGUGUCUUGUUUGGUUCACUAAAGCGAAGAUGCAUUAGAGGUUUUAAAAGUUGUGGAUGAACUUAUUUUUUUCUAAAAGCACCGUCUAUAAUCUGAUAUUCCUACUGUGGAAGUUUCGUAUCUUAGUGUUUUCUUGAUCCUAUGAAAUCUUGUCAUUUGAGUGUAUAGGGGAUGUGGCAACCUUGUUUGCUUUGUGCAAUAUGUUUCCGUUCAGUCACAGGAAGGAGAUUUUAGAGAGGGGUGCAAUUUAGGUUAUUCUGUUGUAUUGACUGAGAAUUGCAUUUGCCUACCUACACUUUGUUUUCUUUGGAAAAGUUUGUUCAUUUUAUGGAGUAUCUGAAUUGAUUUGCAUAUUGUAUGGAUAGGAACUCUGCUCUAGUUCCUUAUGAAUUCUUUUUUCCUGGAUUAAAUGCUUGUUGAAUCUUUGUCUAAUGCAGGUCAGUUGGGUUUUCUUUGUCUUAUUAGUUAUCAGAGACAAUUAUAAGGAAUUGUGGAGACAUUGUUCAUGUGCAUGUAGCUGGGAGAGAAGUUCUUCAUGAGAUGGUGAAAAUAGUGAAGAAGAAGGUAAGAAAUUUUAAUGCAUUUGGAUGCUGAAAGGUACCUGUUGGCUAAAACUUCAUGGUAUUCCUGAUUCUUCAGCCCAAUAUCCAUGUCAAACAGAAGAUAGUAAUCUUGAUAGAUACUUGGCGAGAAGCUUUUGGAGGACCGAGGGCUAGAUAUCCUCAAUACCAUGCUGCCUACCAGGGGUUGCUGGUAUUUAUUUCUCCUUCUCUUGAGAAAAGACUUAUUUUAUUUGUGAUUUGGAUGAUGUCUUUAGGUCUUGACAGUACCAUACCAUUUACCUUUUUCUGGUAUUGGUCGUUAUGUUAUUUUAUCUAUUAAUCACUAAGUCCACUCAUUUUCGUACAGCGAGCAGGAGCAGUGUUCGCUCAGAGAGAGGAGGGUCCUGCGCUGGUUUUUAAACCUCCACAGACACAGCCUCUUUCAUCAUAUCCGCAAAAUAUCUGCAAUGCUGAUAUCCGGCCAGAGCCAUCUGAGUCUUCUGCUGAGUCUGAGUUUCCCACAUUGAGGUGCAUUUAUACAUAGAAAUGCUGAUACCUUUUUUCUUGUCUUUCAAAGUUUUUUAUUUCUUACAGAUUUAGGUCGAAAGAAUUUUAAACCUGCUGUUUGUAUUAUAGUACUGUGCGGAACUUAACAUUUGUCUUUACUUCUAAGUGGCAAAAUCUGUUCUUUGAAAGACAGAGUUUGUUUGGUAAGACUUUUGUUGAGUACUUUUUAUUUUCUUUAAUCCUGUGGCUUACUCAAUUUGACUUUUGUUAACGUGAGGCACCUGAAUUUUAUUUUCAAAAUAUGCAAAUAGUGACACGUAAUUCACAUAUAAUAAUUUUCUUUUUUUCAAGCGAAUUCAAACAAGCUCACUAUUGCCUUCUAGCUUGUAUGUAUCGCAGAGGUCCUAUCUUUGUGAUCCUUAGACAGUCGGUAUGAUUUUGUUGAAACAAACACUUUGAUUAUUGUUUUACAUACUUUUUUAGUACACUGAUGAUUAAAGGAUUGUAGCCCUAGGCAAAUGGGAUAAUUUAGUAUCCUGUUAAAGGACAAUUUUGCAGCACCUUGCUGCUUUCAUAUACUUUGAGGUUCUUAAGGCAUAACUUAAUGUUCUUGUGUAGCUUGACAGAAAUACAGAAUGCACGGGGGAUCAUGGAUGUGCUCGCGGAAAUGCUGAUUGCCAUAGAUGCUGGAAACAAGGAGGUAUAUUUUUCAAUUUGUGAUGCUUAAUUGAGGAUGUAUUUUUAUGCAUCAAGCAGUUGAAUUAGUGGGAGCUGAUAGUAUCUUAUUGAAAUAAUAUAAGGUUGAAGUUCACCUUUUUUUUAGUUUUUCCAUUCAUUUGGAAACCAUCCGGUGGUGUUUCUUUUGCAGUUACAAUUGUUCUCUUAUUGGCUUUUAUUUAUUUAUUUAUAAUAUAUAUAUUUGCAGGGGCUUAGGCAGGAGAUCAUUGUUGACUUGGUAGAGCAGUGCUGCACCUACAAGCAGAGAGUGGUGCACCUUGUAAAUUCAACAUUGUAAGGCUCAGAUGCCCUUUUUGCUGAAUGUAUUUUGAUGCUUAUCAUCUUCUCCAGCUUUCCUUUUUGGUGUUUAAAUACUCUUGCUCCCAUGUCCAGUGGUGGGACAUUUAAGUGGUUGUCCUUUUUCUCGUUUGGUGAAGAGGAAACCUUUAUAUAUGUUUUCUUUGCUUAUAAGACUAGUUCCAGCAUAAGCAAUAUAGAUGCAGUGGCAGGUUCAUGAUGUUGGCGUGAGACAGUGGGAACUCUUUCACUCUUCCUCAAGAUGAAAAAUGCUUUUCAUCUGGCUUGCACUGGACUAUUUUAUGUGUGCCCACUAAUUACUUGGUUGCUGUCUCUGUAUUAUGUGGAGUUCAAUAGCUAUAUCUCUGUUUUAUAAUAAAUUGUUUUGUAUUUUAUGUAACUUGUGUGGAUAUCAACUUUUGUCUUAUCUGGUGAAGAGGACACUAUAAUAGACAAUUGCUUGACUGAUUUCUGAUUCUUAAUGACCUUAAUUAGUUUAGCUAAAAUCAGUGUAUUCAUAUGCCUUGUCCUGUUGCUUCCUUUGAUAUUUCAUCUGAUUGCUAUCUUUGUGGUGCAAAUUGUCCAUUUUAGUAGCAUAAAUGGACGUAUAGCAUGUUGCUAGAUGAAGGGUCAAGAAUUAAGAGAUAUUUCGUGAGGUAUGGAGAAGAUUGUGUGUCAUACCUGUUGCAUUGGAGCUGGGGUGUUUUUAAUUACUGAUAUGGAGGAAGUCGUGUAUGCUACAAAUUUAAAAGGUUUAUGGAUCCGAUACAGUAAAAAGAAAAGUUACUUUCGUCUAACUAAUAACUUGCACUUGCAUCGAAUUUAUAAGCACAGGUGCAGAUGAUUUCUGUGCGGUUUCCUAUUUUCAUCCACUACCUUGCAGUUUUUUAGGGUAUAAUAACAUGAGGAUACAUGUGCCAAUGGUUGCAUUAAUACCAAGCUUAUGAAAGGCUAACUGUGAGAUAUCUUGUCUGAUUACUCAUGGGAGGAAAUAAAAGAUUAAAUAAAAUAAGCUCUCACUCAUCUGACAGGAAUUGUUCACAGCCAGUGAAAGAAUGAAUUUUGGUGCAGCUAAGAAGAUGAGAAUUAUAAAUAAGCACAAUUGCAGAGACUAUCAACAGUAGAUCUUCCUGAAUUUGAAUGAAAUUUAAAAGAAAAAUUCCCUCGGGGGUUGCCAAACUUGAAGGAGGUUCUUAGUUAACAUUAUUUUCUUUAUGUCGGGUUCGGUUGAAGUGAGUUUAAAUCCCCACCUCUCUCUCUUUCUCUCUCCAGGGUAAUUCCAUAACUCAUAGGUGUGGAACUUCUUCCUAGUAGUCAUUAGAAAUGCACAUGCUAAAUUUCAUAAGAAGGGAUGGCUUAUUAGUUCCAACUUGAUCUUGUAAUCCAGGGAUGAAUCACUUCUACGUCAAGGAUUAGCUUUGAAUGAUGACUUGCAGCGUGUACCUGCCAAGCAUGGAGUCAUUGCUUCUGGAACUUCAGUUUAGGCUGAGAAAACCCCGCUGAGACCUUCUGGCACCACGAGGGAUGUCAAAGGUCCUCUACUUGAUAUUGGAGAUAACAGCGAAAAGCCUGAUGAAAGAUAACUGGUUCAUUAGUCAUGAUUGCAAUAUAUAAACCCCAAAUACUUGUUCUGUGGCAAAUUAUGAAGUUCAGCUGAAGUCUGUGAACUGAGCAGUGCUACUCUUAUGAUAAGUUGAUCUGGAUAUUUUUCGCUAAUUUUCUGCUGUUUGGUAAAACUUGGUGGAUAUUUAUAUAUUGAGGCUUCGUUUGUUUCAUGAAAAAUGACUGAUUUGAAAUUUUUUUUGCUGAAAAUGACCAUUUAUAUUGCUUACAAAAAGAAACGAACGAAAAAUAUUGACCGCAUUCAUCUCAUUAUGCCUUGUGAGUGUGCAAAAAGGAAAAAGAAGGAUUGACCACAUUUAUCUCAUUAUGUAAUCAGAAGAAUUUAAUAUGAGACCACAACUCAAUUAUAUGUUAAUUGUGCAAACAACGUUGUCAUAAUUGUCCAACUUGUCCAAGGCAAGCACAAACAAAACCAUUGAUAUUUACUAUCUACCGAUUGUCAAUUGCCUUGCUAAUCCAUAUCCAUAUGCUGUAGAUUCUUUGGCCACUGCUGACAUAUCAAAUGUCCGAAUAUGCUUGUCACUCCCUUCAAAUUGUAAUACAAAUUCUCACCCAAUUCCACUUUUUGCUAAAACGUCCGCAUCUAAUCAUCAAUCAACCUUAAACAUCUUUAACAAGUGGUGACUACGCAUGAAUUUGGUGGUUGUCUUCUUAUUUUAUGAUAAAAUAAGUUUCUUUAUCGCAAGUUCACAACUCUAUGCCAAUACAAAUGACACCAUCGUUAGGCGUUAACAUGCACAAGUAAGGGACCUUUGUGAUAUAAUAAAUCUUAUCUGACAUUGAUUCUGCACAUCCGUCCUGCAAAAAUAGAGUAGGCGUUAUCAAAAUCUCAUGUUUAUUUGAUAUAAUAUAUAUAUAUAUAUAUAUAUAUAUAUGUAUGUAUAUUUUGGUCAAAAAACGAAAUUUUAUUUAUAUCAUAACUGGUGAGGAUCCAGCAGCUCCCAAGAGUGGGGCAUCAUUACAUAGCAGGGCCCAAACUCAAAGGGCUUGGGGUGGAGAAGAAAGUCAAUUGGGCGGUAAUGUCUGUUUCCUCUGCUCGCCCGCGGCCCAGUCCGCAACGGCAUUUUCGGUUCUUUGACAGGAAUGAAGGCCCACCAGCGGUAAGUUCCGAAGAAGGUCUUUGCACUCUGUCCAUGCAGCACGUGUGUCCCAGUUAAAGUCUCCCGCGCACUUGAGAGAUCUUACCAGACUUUUGACAGUCGGGACCCCACCGAAACCACACCCACCUGCUUCUUCUUGAUGUACUUCAGAGCUUCUAACAGAGCUAGGGCUUCCAGCUGAGCAACGGAAGCCGCCCGAACUGUUUUGGUGAAACCGUCCACAAGGCAGCCUGAGAAGUCGCGGACGAUGCAGGAUAUCGCGCCUUCCCUCGACCCUGCACAAAUCGACCCAUCGACGUUGAUCUUCAUGGUCCCUGUCCUGGAGCUACCCAAAUCUGAGGUAUCUCGGUUUCGUCUGACUUUCUUGCUUGAGGGUGUUGAAAGCCCCAUUUUCCAUAGCUUUUCUGCUGAAAUCGGGCCAGAUCUACUACUUUGCAGGCAUCCGGCUGACCUCCCCGAAAUAUAUAGUUAUUCCGCCCCUUCUAAAUUUGCCAGAGGAUGUUUGAAAUCGCUUCCAAGGAGGGUAAGUAAGUGUCUUUCCUUAUAAAGAGCGCCAACCACGCAUCAAUUCGGAUGACUUCCUUAUAUUAGUCAGUGGAGAAUAUGGUGACCAACGAGCGACACUAUUGCUCGUUGGUUUUCUUUCAUUUUUUUUUGUUCAUUAAUAGAAUGAGCAAGUCAAGUCAAGAAGCCUCUGCUUAGAUUCCACGCACCUUCCACAUAAUGCUGCGAAAUUGCUCUGCUGUUCUUUUAUUAGUAGAGAGUGUUGUGUGUUGGUAAUAAAACGUGGAAGGCCGAGAUCGGUGGAAAACAGCAGUGGCUGGAUAGUGUUUUUUUUUUUAGCACUCCUCAAAUAGUCGGUCACUCCUUGCUCCUCUUCUCUGUUUUCCUGCUUUGAUUGCUCCAUUUUCUCCAGAUUAGGGUGUGUGAGAGCUCUUGUAUCUUUGUUUGAAUUAAUGUUGCUCCCAAUCAAAUUCCGAGAUACAUUUCUGCAAUUUGCAGAUCCGGGUCUGUGAAAUCUGCCUUUCCUCUAGAGCUCUGCUUGAUCAAUCUCCUACUUUGAAAGAAAAUAAAAGGUAUUUUUUUUUGUCAAUCACUGCAUGAUGUACAUCCAAACAAGAAGAAGGGAAAUGAAGAGUCCCUUCUCUUCCUUAUGGUCCAACUCCUUUCUUUUCUUUUCCCUUCAUUUCCCUCUCAACUUAAAUUGCCAAACAAAGUGGAAAAGAAAAGAACCCAAUCAUUUAGAAGAUCUGAAUUCCGGGGCCUCUUCCUCAUCGACCCCCCUGCAUGGAGGACAUUACAAAGGCGGAGACAAACAGCAGAAAGGGAAUGACUUCGAAGUGCUCUUGAGCACUCCUCAGGUAAUCAAUGACUCCUUACUCUUCUCUUCCCCUCUGUUUCCAGCUUUGGUUGCUCCAUUUUCUUCUGAUGACUUGUGUGAGAGUUUUUUUUUUUUUUUCGAAGUAGCUCCGAAUUGAGUUCUGAUGAGUUUUUGAUCUGGGAUUAUAUAUAUGUCUGUUUUCUGUUUCCUGCUUUCUUUUGAGUCUUUGCUUCAUCAAUCUCUUUUACUCUUUGAAUUAGUAUAAUCCUCUCGAGGUGGAAAAGGAAAUACCCACUCAUUUAGAAGAUUCAAUUUACGGGGCGUUUUCCUUAUCCGCCUCUGCACAUAUUGGUGAUUAUGGAGGCAGAACCAAAAAGUCGAAAGGAAAAGGUUACGAAGUAUAUAUGAACUUUAGAGGGCGAGACACCCGUAAGGGUUUCGGUGAUUAUCUCUAUACUAGCCUUGUCGAUGCAGGAGUUCACGUGUUCAGAGAUGAAGAGAUCUGUGUUGGUGCAAAGAUUGGUUUUGAUUUUCCUUCCGUUAUUGCACAGACUAAGAUCUCGAUUGUGAUUAUCUCUGAGAACUUCGCUUCCAGCGCAUGGUGCCUUAAGGAGCUAGUUCAUAUAUUAGAGUGCAGGAGAAGCAGAGGGCAACUAGUGUUGCCUAUAUAUUACAAGGUGAAACCCUCACAAUUGAAAUAUCUUACUGGGAGAUUUAGAGGUGCUAUUGAUGCACAUAAAAGGAAAAUGGGCGAAAUGGUUGUGAAUUACUGGAUAGAAGCGCUCCGAGAAGUCACUUCGGUGAAAGGAUGGAAAUCGGAAGAAUUUGGGUACAUAUUNNNNNNNNNNNNNNNNNNNNNNNNNNNNNNNNNNNNNNNNNNNNNNNNNNNNNNNNNNNNNNNNNNNNNNNNNNNNNNNNNNNNNNNNNNNNNNNNNNNNNNNNNNNNNNNNNNNNNNNNNNNNNNNNNNNNNNNNNNNNNNNNNNNNNNNNNNNNNNUCAACGAAGUUAUGAUCGCGUUAAAUGGAACCCAAAAGGAUUAUGAGCUCGAUAGACAAUAAUGAAGUCCCAACCAAAAAGCCGAAAGCAAAGGUGUGUGAAGUGUUCUUAAGCUUUAGGGGGAAAGACACUGGUGAAGGUUUUACCAGUUAUCUCUAUACUAUCCUCGAGGAUGCAGGAAUUCACGUGUUCAAGGAAGACAAUGACCUCCGUGAUGGUGAGCAGAUUGGUUUGAAGCUUCUCGGCAGCAUUAUGCAAUCAAAGAUUGCGAUCCCAAUUAUCUCAGAGAAUUAUGCUUCCAGCCAAUGGUGCCUUCAUGAGCUGACUUUGAUGUUGAAUUGCAUGAGAAGUGGAGACCAAAAGGUGUUUCCCAUAUUUUACAAAGUGGAAGUCUGGCAGGUGCGAAAUCUUGGAGGGAGAUACGGAGAUGCUUUUAAUAAGUGGAAAAAUAAUUUGGGUGGAAAAGUUGUGGAGGAAUGGAAAGAAGCGCUUCGAGCAGUCUGUUCCUUGAGAGGAUGGAAGUCACAGAACUAUGAGAAUGGGUACAUUAUUCUAAUUUAAACAUUUUUAAUUUCCCACAAAUAGAUCUUUCUUGAAAAAAAUAUAAAUUUAGCCAUUCUAUACUGAAAUUGAUUGUUAUAUGACAGGUAUGAAGGAGCAUUGGUAAAAACUAUAGUCGAAGAAAUUAGGAGCGAGUUAUAUGGAACUUCUCAGCUAAUAAAAGAGGUGUGGAACAAAUUACGAGCUGGAUAGAUGUUAAAUUUAAUGAUACAAGGAUUGUCGGAAUUUGGGGAAAUAUUGGCGUCGGUAAAACAACUCUUGCAAGGGUCCUGUACAACAAGCUUUCUAGUCAUUUCAAACAUCUUAGCUUUGUGGCAAAUAUUCGAGAAACAUCUCUGCACAAGGGUAUUGAAUGUCUGCAAAGGCAGCUCAUUGACGAUAUACUAAGGAGUCCAAACGACGUGUCUAUUGACAAAAUCAGUGUCAUCAAGUCUCAAUUUAUGAAUAAGAAAGUUCUUGUACUACUUGAUGAUAUAGAUGCCACUACUGAUUUUAAUGCUUUGAUUGGAGACAUUAGUUGGGUUAAAGCAGGAAGUAUAGUCAUCGUCACAACGAGAAACAAGAAAUUUCUCGAUGAGGCUAAGGUGGACCAUAAGUACGAAGUCAAUAAGUUGACUCUGAAUGAAUCAUUGAUUUUGUUUAGUAGACAUGCAUUUCAAAAGGAUUAUCCUAUUAAAGGUUAUGAGAUUCUCUCUCAUAGUAUCGUAUCCAUAACAACUGGACUUCCCUUGGCUCUUAAAGUUAUAGGUUCUUGUUUAUAUGAACAGAGCAGAGGAGUAUGGAAUAAUAUAUCAAAGAAAUUAAUGGAAGUGCCUCAUCAGCAAGUACAAGAGAUGUUGAGGAUAUGUUAUGAAGAAUUAGAUGAUAUGGAGCAACAAAUUUUUUUGGAUAUAGCAUGUUUUCUUAUUGGAUCAUCUAAGCAAAGUCCUACUUAUAUGUGGGAUGCCUGUGGUUUUUUCCCGAGAAAUGGGAUUGAAGUAUUGAGUCGUAUGUCUUUAAUUGAGAUUGACGAAGAUGACAAGCUAAGGAUGCAUGAUCAACUGAGAGAUCUGGGACAGAAAAUUGUUCAUCUAGAAAAUCCAAAGGAACCACAAGAGCGUAGCAGAUUAUGGAAAUAUGAAGAAGCAGCGUAUGUGCUUGACAGCAACAAGGUAAGUGUUUUCCUCUACUCGUCUUACUCAAUGAAUGUGAUUCCAUUUUUCCUUUCUUGUUUGAGAUUAUAGUUAGUUUCGAUCCCCAAAACUAGCUGCUUCUACCAAUAAAAGAGCUCGUACGAUUAAUUGUUGUUCUUGCCUGAUUAUAGGACAUAACUGAGGAUUGUGAUUAGAACACUCUCCUUUUGGUAACUUCAAUGCAAGAACAAAACUAAAAAAGCGUUAUGUUUGAAAGAGCGCUUUCGGAUAAAACCUGACAACUAUAAAUUAUGGGGGGCCAUGCUUUUCCCACAUAUUAGUUUCAUGCAAAUGUUUGGAUUCUUCUUUUGAUUUUUUGUGAGGUCUUUUCUUUCUUUAUUUUCUUCUACUAGGUAUUGACUUCUUUUGAGUUGUUUGCUAUGAUAAAGGAGACCACCAUGCUUUCCACAGAAUUUGAUAAGUAUCCAUGAGAUCGAAUAUGGAAUUCUGUUUACUCACUUGAAAUUCAUUUGUAAUGAUUAGCUAUCCUGGUUCAUGUAUUUUUCGAGUUGGAUUAAAUACAGAUUAGGUCCCCCAUCUAUUCUUUCUUCGCUCAAAGUAGUCCUUCAUUUUUCGCAGUUUGUGCAAAUAAUUCCUUUCUCGUCAAUUGCUAGUUAACAUCAUCAAAUUUACUCUUGUGGCUUUCGUAUUCAUUUAUGAUAUAUGCACCACUGUUAGUAUAACCCUCUAAACAUAUACUAUUUUCGUUCAAUAGACAUUUCAUAAUAGUGGAUAAUUUUAUUUCUAUGAAUUUGCUAACAAUUUUUUGUUUCUUUUGUGACGAUGGAUAAUUUUUCUAUUCCCUGACAACAUUUAUUUGUUAAAUAUAGGCUAUCAAGCUAUAACAAUUAUUUCUGCAUUUCUCAAUUCUUAGUGAGUACCUUAUUUAGCAAAUAUUUAGUUAAUUUAUAUCAUCAUUUGUUAAAUAUAUGCUAUCAUAUUACAUAAUUUUUUAUCAAUCUGUUAUCAUCACUUUUGUAAAACGAAAAAAAUAUUUUCUCAUAAUGAGUAUCAAAACAACUUUUCAAUGACAACAGCUAUUACUUAUCAUACAUUUCGUUAUAUUCAUUAUUCAAAUAUAUGUAUUGAUGCAACAGAACUCUUUAAAAAUGUACUUUNNNNNNNNNNNNNNNNNNNNNNNNNNNNNNNNNNNNNNNNNNNNNNNNNNNNNNNNNNNNNNNNNNNNNNNNNNNNNNNNNNNNNNNNNNNNNNNNNNNNGAUCUUUUAAUAUUCUGUAUUUGUCAAAUUUGAGUCCAAUAUGAUAUUGAUCUUUUUGAUAUUAUUAUUUGGUAAAAAAAUUAUUUUAACGUUACUUAUUGGUCACAUGUGAGCCCAUUGCACAUAAUAAAUGAAAUAUCCAGAAAUUAUAUAUAACUAAAAUUUAAUACGUGUACAACUAAAAGGCAUAGUUUUGUGGUAAGACCUCCAGAUUAAAAUAAGACAUUAGAAGAAAAAAGUUGAAAUUUUACAAUAAACUGGAUUGAUAGAGCCAUAAAUAUUUUACUUAGAUAUUUUAACACUCAAAAGCUUUUAAAUCUCAAGAUUUCGAUCAUCCAUAUUCUUAAAACUGUGGAAACAAUAAUGAAAUUAAAAUUGAGAAGAAUCAUGGGGAGAGAAAAAGUAAAAUCCACUAUAAAAAUUCAAUUAUUACAAAAGGUGGUUAAAAAAUCUAAGACUCUUUCCGUUUUAAAUUCUUAAGGUAAUAACUUGAGAAAAAUAAUAUUUAUAUUGCUCUUAAGCCCUAACAUUGGCCCAAACCCAUAAAUAAUUCAAGACAUCUCAACAAAUCUCCAUCUUGGCUUGAAUUUUACAUAAGUAACAAAAUCUUCUCCUCCCACUAGAGUAAAACUCAGUUGCGGCAAAUAUUAACCAAAUCCAAGCAUCACAAAUAUUAACCAAAUCCAAGUGAUGCUUGAAUUUGGCAGCGGGCAAGGGCUUUGUCAACAUAUUAACUAGAUUGUUUUCUGUACCAAUCUUAGCCAUCGACAAGAAUGUCUUGAAUAUAAUAAUUCCAAACAUCGAUGUGCUUUGUUCGCUCAUGAUAUAUUUGAUCUUUAGUAAACUGUAUAACAUUUUGACUAUCACAAUGGACAAUAGUCACACCAUAAUCCACAUUGAGCUCCUCAAAUAAAUCUCUUGACCAUAUAGCCUCUUUAAUUGCUUUUGCAAUAACUAUAUACCUUGCUUUUAUAGUAGAUAAAGCAAUUGUAUAUUGUAAAGUAGCUUUCCAACUUAUUGUGCAACCUUCAAUAGUAAAGAUACACCCAAUCAAAGACUUCCUUAUAUCAAGGUCACCAGCAUAAUCAGAAUUAAUAUGUUUAGUAUGACUGUCACUAGUUUUCCCAACUCUAAACUAAAAUCAGAAGUACCUUUCAAAUAUUUCAAAAUCAACUUCACAGCUUGCCAAUGAACUUUGCCCGAGCAUGAUAAAUAUCUACUUACUAUGUUAACAGCAUAAGAAUACUUUCAAUUUUUCUAUUUUUUUUUAAAUGAUUAUCACAUAAGUUUGAGGACCAUGUAUUCAUAUAAUAACAAUUAUUAACAACGUUAUAUUAGAAUAUGAUUAUAUACACAGUUAGAGAUAGCUCUUUUCACCUGUAAUACUUAAAUUUAAGCCAAUGUAAUUUUUUUUAAUUAAAUAUAUAUGAGAAUGUUGUCCAUCAUCUCAUAAAUUACUCGAAAAAGUGACGGAUCAAAUUUUGUUUAUGAGAUUAAUCUGCAUAAUAUCAAUAAGACGUGGAUAAAUUCAAAACAAUGGCUCACUCAAAUAUUUUUAAAUUUAACUUUUGUUGUCAUGUAAAGAAAAAAAAUGUUUUGAAUUUUAUAUGACGACGAGUUUUCAUUAUUAGUGUUAAAGUUAAUAUGGACGUAACUAAAAGCACUUAUGACAUAUGGAUGAUUUGUUCAACCAUCACACAAGCACGCGCAAAUGUCAAGAGCAUCUUUAAUUUACAAGUACCACAUAUAAACAUUGAGAUGCAAAAUAUAAUGAAGUAGCAAUAUUACUGAAAAAUAUUAUAUCGAUGCUUUUCAGCAAGCAAAUUUUUGCACAAAUGGAAAUCUAAUCAACAAUAUAGAACAUUGAUUAGAACUAAAAGAAAGUUAUCUAUGAAGUUAUUGAAAAAACACUAUAAAUUUACAAGGAACUUUUGAAGGAAAAGUAAGUAGCGUCUCAUCUGAAAGAAUACAAGUUUGAAGGAGAAAUUGUAUCCUCCAAACAUAACAAUUGAGCUCUUUAAACAUCCAAUUUAGUCGAUCUUCAUAGCCAAUGUGUCUAUUAGCAAAAUCUCAUCAAUCUAUGGGCAAAUUGAUCAAACAUAUCAAUGACUGGUUUUUCUUUCAAGUACAAUGAAAAUCAACCAUCUGCAGUGACGAAAAGAGGAGUAAAAAUUAAUUAUAUAAUGUUUGAUCGAUGAUUGGUUUUUCUUUCGAGUACAAAGAAAAUCACUCAUAGAGGAAAAACAUGACAAAAAAGGAAUGUAAACAUGUGCGUACUUUUUGGAUGACAUUCUUGUUUCACUUAGCUAUUACCAUGGGGAUUCUCUAAUUUUGAUGGAUGCCUUGAUGGCAAGUUUGAUAGAUACAUUUAAAUUGUAAGAGUUGUCUUGUUUUUCGUAUUAAGGAUAUGAGUUAGAGUUGCAUUGUUUCGCAUAUCAAGGAUAAUAGAUAUAUUUGGAGUAGUGUGUGCAUGGAGAGAGACAUUCCAAUCUAAUUUUUUUUUUUUUAAUUCAAAAUGUGUAAACUGUGAAGAGCAUAAUUGGAAGAGAAUAAGUCACGAAACACCCUCCUUAGCUUUACAUUUUUAUACAGAUGAGAUAUUUAAUAUGCAAUCAAAAUCUACCGCUUCACAAAGUUGAAAGGGAGAAGCCUGCACGAUAAUAGUAUAUCAGUAAAUGAAAUCAGUAUGUCUUUUCUUAUAUGCAGUUGGUCUCAUGUCAUCAUUCAAUCUUACGGUCUUCUCUGUUUCCUAAUUGUAGGGCACUUGUAAGAUUGAGGCCCUUCGUUUUGACGAAUAUGGCUACAAAAGAAGCUACAAAGGUGAACAAUUUAAAGAACUAGCCCACUUGAGGUACCUUCAAGUGUGUGGUGGGAAUUUCGCUGGAGAUUUUCAAAUUUUACUUUCUCAAUUAAGAUGGCUUCAAUGGGAGCGUUGUCCCUCGAAUUUCGAAGCGGCCAAUUUUCAUCCAAAAAAGUUAGUCGUGCUCAAUCUAUCGUGGAGUGAGAUUUCAGAGGAUUGGGGAGGAUGGGAUCCACUGAAGGUAAGAUGAAGAAAUGACAUAUCUCUUGUUAAUAAUCACUUUUUGUCGAAGUCCCAAUCGCACCAAGUUCUCCUUUCUUUCAUUCAGAAAGGUUUAAUAUUCUUCCUCAAAUUAAGAAUCUUCCUCUAAAUACAAGAGGAACUUAUAGGCAUCUAAAUAUACCAGAAGCCUGUACACAUACUAAAAAGAACUUUUAAGCUAAAUUAAUUAACAUCUAUUAAAAAUAUAAUUAUAGUAUUUUGCCUAUCAUGAUUUUUUUUAAUCUAAAUUGUUUUUGGCUUCUAAGCUAAUUUCUCCCAGGUAAAAGUAUGACUUUUUAACGAUUCUUGUUAUAUACCUAUAUCUAUCUUCUUUAAUGGCAAAUGAAAAGUUACAACUAUUUACCUAUCGUUAACUUUUGUUUCUAAUAUAAAUUAUUCUAACUAUUCAAAUAGUAUUUCAUGUAAAAAGUAGUUAGAGCAUUUGUAGAGGGCACUUUUAUGAGGGUGAACUAUAUGUUAUUUUUGUGAGUACUAGAGGGCACUUUUAUGUAGGUAACAUUGUUUUUGUAAUAGACAUUUAUGUGUUGGUGACAUAGCCAAACACUACUACUUAAGAAACAUUUAAAUAAAACAAAUGUGAAGUAGUGGAGCAUCAUAGCAAUGGUAGCAUAAGAUAAGGGGUAGUGGAGCGUGGGUUUUUCCGAGGAAAUUUAAAAAGUCUAAAAGAACAAAGAGUAGUGGAAAAUCUCAUUGAGCUAUCUCUUUCUUUCUUCAGAUGGCAACCCAGCUCAAAGUUCUCAACCUUACAGGUUGUCUUUCUUUAAGAAACACUCCUGACUUGUCUGCUUUCGAAAGCUUGGAGAUUUUGAUUCUUGAAGAAUGUGAGAAUCUGGAAAUGAUUCAUCAUUCUAUCAUGCUCGUCAAGUCCCUUAUCUCUUUGAAUGUCAACGGUUGUAGGAGAUUGGAGGAACUACCGAUAGGAAUAGGUAGAAUGGAACAAUUGAGGGAGCUUCUCAUAAAUGAUACGGCUAUACGAGAGAUUCCAAUAUCAAAAGGUGAUUUGAUGAAGCUAGUGAUUUUAUGUGCCUCAUGAUGUCCACAACUUGCUCAACUUCCUGAAUCCAUAGGCUCACUUAAGUUGUUAACUCAGCUAGACCUAUCUCAUUCAGAGAUUGAUAAAUUACCUGAAUCCAUGGACUCCCUUGAGUCGUUAACUCAGUUGGACCUAUCUUAUUCAUAUCUUGAAGAAUUACCACACUCCAUGGGCUCUCUUGGGUUGUUAACUCAAUUGGACCUAUCUCAUUCAGGGAUUAGAAAAUUUCCAGAGUCCAUGGGCUCCCUCGUGUCAUUGAUUCAGUUGGAUUUGUCUUAUUCAAGGAUUGAAGAAUUACCCGAACCAAUUGGUUCUUUGAAGAAGCUCGAAACCCUCAAUGCCUUUAAUUGUGCAUUGUUGGCCCACAUACACAGCUCCAUAGGCAAUCUAACGUUUUUGUCUCUCCUUGACCUAAGGAAAUGCCAUAAACUUGCUCAACUUCCAGACUCCAUAGACUCCAUGGUGUCUCUACAACACUUGUUAUUACGAGGAUGUCUCUUGUUGAAAGAGAUUCCCGACUCGAUUGGAAAGUUGGUAUCAUUGACUGAGCUAGACUUGAAAUCUACAUCAAUUGUGGAAUUACCUCAAAGCAUUGAGAAACUGUAGAAUUUGAGGAUCUUGGACAUUCGUGGAACCCACAUAACAGAACUUCCAGGUGCCAUGUUGACUCCUAGAAUAUUUAAACAUUGAAUAUUAUAAUACGUAUGUUGGCUUGGCUUAUGUCAUAAUUUCACGUCUAGGUAGCCUGUAAGAUCUCCUGCUUUCUCUUCUUCGUCGAACAUGUGGCUUUCAAGUGCAAACUCAGUAGGGAAAUAAAUGUUGCAAACACUGUGUAUGUACUGUUAGUGCGGCACCAGUUCUGUUGCUUCAACUGAGCAUAAUAUUUUUCAGGUGGUUGGUGAAUGAAAUUGAGGUUGAGUUUACGCAAAGCCCGUACCAAUGGUUCACAGAUAAAGAGAAAGUCAAUAUCAUACAUUCAUAAAAAAAUUUAAAUUAAUAUACUCGUUAUAAAUUUAUCUUAAACUAAUUUUUUAACCACCAAAAAUCCUAAACUGGUAUGCUUGUCACAAAUUUACCAUUCGUUAGUUUGUAUUAGAUUUACUAUUAAAUUGCUGAGUUAAAUGAUACUUGCAAUUGACGGGUGUGCUAAUUUAGGGUUUUACUCUCCUUUUUAUCACAUGUUUACUACUUGUGAUUUUUCAUAUCAUAAAUAUAUCAAUUUUGAGUUUUUAACGGUAACGAAAUUAAUUUUGGAUAAAUUUAUCAUAGAUAUAUCAAUUUGAAGUUUUUGGUAGUCAAAAAAUUUGUUUAAAAUAAAUUUAUCACAAAUAUGCUAGUUUGAAGUUUUUGGCUUAGGGUAAAUUUGUUAUAUGUGAGCCAGUUUGAGAUUCUUCAUAAUAUUAACCCUAUUUUUAAAGCCAUUAACUUUAUUGACUAUAAUUUGAAAGUUGCAUCUGCUCUGAAGUUGCAUAUGCUUUUUAUGAAAAAUGGGGUCAAAUUCAAAUAUUUAAAGUGUAUAUUUUUGUAAAAAGGAUUUUAUCGACGAAUGGCCCUUAUUGAUUAAGUUAGACAUCCACGUGUAAAUUUUUUGUCAUUUUCAAAGCACUUUUUCUUUUUCUUUUUUUUCAUAUGGUGCACAAUCAAUAAAUCCACUUAUUAGGUGUGGGUUGGCUAACUGGUGCUCUGAGCAAGAACUUCCUAAUAAUAAUCCUCGACUUGUCGCCACAGCAUGUCCUGUUCACGAUUCAGAAGCAAACGUUUCAAAUUUUUUCUAACAAAGCCAUUUCUCUCUAGUUUGGAAGCUAUGUAUUACCAUUGUUGUUGAUGUCUAGUCCAAUCUUAUGAUCUCCAUAUUAACUCUAAAUACUUCAAAACUCGUAAAGAAUCUUUUGGUCAGCUAAGUCAAUUUUAAUUUCCUCAAGUCAUAUCUCGAUUUUUUGAGGUUUGGUUUGGUUUCAACUUUUGGGAAACCAAAUCAAAUUGCAAAAUCUUAUUGUAUAAAUUAUUCAUUUUGUCAAUUAAUUCUGCCAUUUAUAUGUGAAGUAGCCUAUCGAAAUAGGUUUGAUUUUUAUUUUGUGUGAAAUUUAUGACUUGUUGUGAGUAUAGAAUUUGUUUUUUUUUUUUUUCAAUGAAGUUACAAUAGGUAAAGAGAAAAAGAUGAAAGAAGAAACAACAACUAAACCGAAUCAAUCCCCAAAAAAAUGGUUUGGCUUGGUUAAUUCUUGACUAUGAUACGAUUUAAUUGUUUUAUUUUUCGUCAAAUUUUAUUUAUAUAGUUUGGUUUGGUUUGACAUUCAAACUACGCCAACUGUCCUGUGUUCAUCUCCUAAUAGUUAUCAAUAAGGAAAUAAGGUUGUAAAGAAUUUGCACAAUUUUUUGCUUUUUAACACAAAGGCACGGUUUCUAGAAAAUGUGAGAGGUCAAAUAUAAUUAAUGAUAAUAUAAACCAAGUCAUUAAGGCGAAGAAAUGAAAAUAAAUACUCCAUGGUGAAUAGUACAUAUAUGACGGGGAAGCGCUCAUGUGGACCAUUUUUUUGGAGAAUGAAGCAAAUCCAACGUUCGCAAAGGAGAUUUUUCUAAUUAUCCAGAAUCUCAUGUGUUAUCAUGAGAGGUGAUUCUUCAGGAACAUUUCGUCAGAGAAUCUUAUUUUAUUUGUCCAAAAGUUAAGAAGUAGGUGAACGGAUGUCGUCUACAUAGUCAGAGCCAUGUGACGAGCACGAAGAAGAAACUUGAAAGAAAUUGGGCGCGUGAAAAGGUAUAUCGGCCUUAUGACGGAAAAAACAGAAUAAAAUAAAAAGAGAGUAUGUCGGCCUGAUAAUGAUGAUGUGGUGGUAGGUGAGAGACUCUGCUGUUCUCGGAGGAGAGAGGGUGAAGGGAGAGAAAGAGGGAUCGCUUGGAUUUGUCACCCCCAAUAAUAAAAUGAAAUGGGGCCCACGGCAAAGAAAGAGAGCAAGCUCCAACGCCAACUAAUACUAAACAAACGGAUUUGACAUGACAAUGAAAAUAUAAUGUAAUAUCGGUAAAAAAAUUAUCAAAAUAAAAUUUUAAUUAUAAACAUUUUAAUUUGAUCAAUUUAACAAUAAUUUUUUAAAAAAUAUAUCAAUUUCAUUAAAAAUUACUGACGUUGAUGUUAACAGUAUCACGUAGGACGAUCAUUGUUAAUAUAAAUAAAUCGAUCAGGAUUGUAGUAGAAGAAUCGUCAUAACUUUGACCAAGACCACAAAACUAAAUGACUUCGUCUUAGAAGAAUAAUGAAAACUUCCCUAGAAAUAUUCAUGAUCACGAAAAUUUAAUGGAAGAAUUGUUAUUAUGUUGUCUAUGUGUAUAAAGAUAUAUCUAAAAAUUAAUUUUCAGGUCACGAUUUCUGUAAAAAGUGUACACAAGAAUAUUUAGUGGUGAAAUUAUCGAUUUAUCUACCACAUUAUAUUAUAUUUUUGCAAGACUAUACAUUUGCAAUGAUAUGGUCUCGAUAAUAAUUUGUAAUUUACUUUUAGAACAUAUAUUAAAAAACAUACAUCUUCAAUCACAUGAUGACGAACCUUUCAAUGUCGAAGAAUUAUCACAACUAAAAUUUUUAACAACAUAUUUACUAAACAUGUAUACACAAAUUUCUUUUAUGGAGAAUCAUCGGAGUUUAUAUUUUAGUGAUCGGGUAACCUUACAUUUACAAUGGUUUUAUAAAUUUAUGAGAGAACAAUAGUGAGAAAAAUAGAAAACAAAUUUACAACCAUCUGCCAACAUCAAAGUAAUAUUAACAUAAUAUAUUACAAUAUAAUUUUCAAUUCAACAAUCAAAUUCAGGAUAAGAAUACUUUCGAUUUUUCUAUUUUUAAAAAAAAAAUGAUUAUCACAUAAGUUUGAGGACCAUGUAUUCAUAUAAUAACAAUUAUUAACAACGUUAUAUUAGAAUAUGAUUAUAUACAUAGUUAGAGAUAGCUCUUAUCACCUGUAAUACUUAAAUUUAAGCCAAUGUAAUUUUUUUAAUUAAAUAUAUAUGAGAAUGUUGUCCAUCAUCUCAUAAAUUACUCGAAAAAGUGACGGAUCAAAUUUUGUUAAAGAGAUUAAUCUGCAUAAUAUCAAUAAGACGUGGAUAAAAUCAAAGCAAUGGCUCACUCAAAUAUCUUUAAAUUUAACAUUUAUUGUCAUGUAAAAAAAAUGUUUUGAAUUUUAUAUGACGACGAGUUUUCAUUAUUAGUGUUAAAGUUAAUAUGGACGUAACUAAAAGCACUUAUGACAUAUGGAUGAUUUGUUCAAGCAUCACACAAGCACGCGCAAAUGUCAAGAGCAUAUUUAAUUGACAAGUACCGCAUAUAAACAUUGAGAUGCAAAAUAUAAUGAAGUAGCAAUAUUACUGAAAAAUAUUAUAUCGAUGCUUUUCAGCAAGCAAAUUCUUGCACAAAUGGAAAUCUAAUCAACAAUAUAGAACAUUGAUUAGAACUAAAAGAAAGUUAUCUAUGAAGUUAUUGAAAAAACACUAUAAAUUUACAACUUUUGAAGGAAAAGUAAGUAGCGUCUCAUCUGAAAGAAUACAAGUUUGAAGGAGAAAUUGUAUCCUCCAAACAUAACAAUUGAGCUCUUUAAACAUCCAAUUUAGUCGAUCUUCAUAGCCAAUGUGUCUAUUAGCAAAAUCUCAUCAAUCUAUGGGCAAAUUGAUCAAACAUAUCAAUGACUGGUUUUUCUUUCAAGUACAAUGAAAAUCAACCAUCUGCAGUGACGAAAAGAGGAGUAAAAAUUAAUUAUAUAAUGUUUGAUCGAUGAUUGGUUUUUCUUUCAAGUACAAUGAAAAUCACUCAUAGAGGAAAAACAUGACAAAAAAGGAAUGUAAACAUGUGCGUACUUUUUGGAUGACAUUCUUGUUUCACUUAGCUAUUACCAUGGGGAUUCUCUAAUUUUGAUGGAUGCCUUGAUGGCAAGUUUGAUAGAUAUAUUUGCAUUGUAAGGGUUGUCUUGUUUUGCGUAUUAAGGAUAUGAGUUAGAGUUGCAUUGUUUCGCAUAUAAAGGACAUGAAUUUUAAUAGAUAUAUUUGGAGUGGUGUGUGCAUGGAGAGAGACAUUCUAUUCUAUUUUUAUUUUUUUUGGAAAUUCAAAAUGUGUAAAUUGUGAAGGGCAUAAUUGGAAGAGAAUAAGUCACGAAACACCCUCCUUAGCCUUACAUUUUUAUACAAAUGAGAUAUUUAAUUAUGCAAUCAAAAUCUGCCGCUUCGCAAAGUUGAAAGGGAGAAACCUGCACGAUAAUAGUAUAUCAGUAAAUGAAAUCAAUAUAUCUUUUCUUAUAUGUAGUUGGUCUCAUGUCAUCAUUCAAAUCUUACGGUCUCCUAUUUUUCCUAAUUGUAGAGCACUUGUAAGAUUGAGGCCCUUCGUCUUGACGAAUAUGGAUACAAAAGAAGCUACACAGGUGAACAAUUUAAAGAACUAGCCCACUUGAGGUACCUUCAAGUGUGUGGUGUGAAUUUCAUCGGAGAUUUUCAAACUUUACUUCCUCAAUUAAGAUGGCUUCGUUGUCUCUCGAAUUUCGAAGCAGCCAAUUUUCAUCCAAAAAAACUAGCCAUGCUCAAUCUAUCAUGGAGUGAGAUUUCAGAUGAUUGGGGAGGAUGGGAUCCACUGAAGGUAAGAUGAAGAAAGGACAUAUCUCUUGUUAAUAAUCACAUUUUGUUGAAGUCCCAAUCGCACCAAGUUCUCCUUUCUUUUAUUCAGAAAUGUUUAAUAUUCUUGCUCAAAUUAAGAAUCUUCCUCUAAAUACAAGAGGAGCUUAUAGGCAUCUAAAUAUACCAGAAGCUUGUGCACCUUAACAUCUUAAAUUGAUAAUACCUUAACAACCAGUCAUGCUUAAUAUUGGACAUGCUAAAAAGAACUUUUUAAACUAUAUUAAUUAACAUCUAUUAAAAAUAUAAUUACAGUAUUUUGCCUAUCGUGAUUUUUUUUUAUCUAAAUUGUUUUUGGCUUCUAGGCUAAUUUCUCCUAGGUAAAAGUACGACUUUUUAACGAUUCUUGUUAUAUAUCUAUAUCUAUCUUCUUUAAUGGGAAAUGAAAAGUUACGACUAUUUACCUAUCAUUUGGUUACUAUCACACAAAUGCUCUAACUGCUUUUUACAUGAAAUACUAUUUGAAUAGUUAGAAUAAUUUAUAUUAGAAACAAAAGUUAACGCUACUUCAAAAUAAGUGCAUUGCUUUAUAAUUAAUUUUGUGAGGGUGAACUAUAUGUUAUUUUUGUGAGUGCUAGAGGGCACUUUUAUGUCCGUAACAUUCUUUUUGUGAUAGACAUUUAUGUGUCGGUGACAUAGCCAAACACUACUACUUAAGAAACAUUUAAAUAAAACAAAUGUGAAGUAGUGGAGCAUCAUAGCAAUUUUAGCAUAAGAUAAGGAGUAGUGGAGCGUGGGUUUUUAUGAGGAAUUUUAAAAAGUCUAAAAAAACAAAGAGUAGUGGAAAAUCUCAUUGAGGUAUCUCUUUUUUUUCUUCAGAUGGCAACCCAGCUCAAAGUUCUCAACCUUACGGGUUGUCUUUCUUUGAGAAGCACUUUUGACUUGUCUGCUUUCGAAAGCUUGGAGAUUUUGAUUCUUGAAGAAUGUGAGAAUCUAGAAACGAUUCAUCAUUCCAUCAUGCACAUCAAGUCCCUUAUCUCUUUUAAUGUCAAUGGUUGUAGGAGACUGGAGGAACUACCGAUAGGAAUAGGUAGAAGGGAACAAUUGAGGGAGCUUCUCAUAAAUGACACAGCUAUACGAGAGAUUCCAAUAUCAAAGGGUGAUUUGAUGAAGAUGGAGAUUUUAUGUGCCUCGUGGUGUCCACGACUUGCUCAACUUCCUGAAUCCAUGGGCUCACUUAAGUCGUUAACUCAGCUAGACCUAUCUCAUUCAGAGAUUGAUAAAUUACCUGAAUCCAUGAACUCCCUUAAGUCGUUAACUCAAUUGGACCUAUCUUAUUCAUAUCUUGAAGAAUUACCACACUCCAUGGGCUCUCUUGGGUUGUUAACUCAAUUGGACCUAUCUCAUUCAGGGACUAGAAAUUUUCCAGAGUCCAUGGGCUCCCACGUCAUUGAUUCAGUUGGACUUGUCUUAUUCAGGGAUUGAAUAAUUACCUAAAUCAAUUGGUUCUUUGAAGAAGCUCGAAACCCUUAAUGCCUUUAAUUGUGCAUUGUUGGCCCACAUACACAGCUCCAUAGGCAAUCUAACAUUGUCUCUCCUUGAUCUAAGAAAAUGCAAUAAACUUGCUCAACUUCCAGAUUCCAUAGACUCUCUAAUGUCUCUACAACGCUUGUUAUUAUGAGGAUGUCAUUUGUUGAAAGAGAUCACCGACUCGAUCGGAAAGUUAAUAUCAUUGACUGAGCUAGACUUGAAGUCAACAUCAAUUGCGGAAUUACCUCAAAGCAUUGAGAAGCUACAGAAUUUGAGGAUCUUGGACAUUCGUGGAACUCACAUCACAGAACUUCCAGGUGCCACGUUGACUUCUAGAAUAUUUAAACAUUGAAUAUUUUAAUACGUAUGUUGGCUUGGCUUAUGUCAUAAUUUCAAGUCUAGGUAGCCUGUAAGAUCUCCGUGCUUUCUCUUCUUUGUCGAACAUGUGGUUUUCAAGUGCAAACUCAGUAGGGAAAUAAAUGUUGCGAACACUGUGUAUGUACUGUUAGUGAGGCACCAGUUCUCUUGCUUCAACUGAGCAUAAUAUUUUUCAAGUGGUUGGUGAAUGAAAUUGAGGUUGAAUUUAUGCAAAGCCCGUACCAACGGUUCACAGAUAAAGAGAGUCAAUUUCAUACAUUUAUAUCUCUCUUUUAAUGGAGUGAAAUUGGUCAGUUCUUUGAUUUUGCUUGAAUGGAUCGCCAGACGGGGUGGGAAGAAAUGUGAUGUUGUAUGCUCAUUAUCCCGACCCGCUCGAGGGUGGUCGGCCAAGCAAGUUUUAGAAAUCUUGCCUUGAGAUGAGCUGAUAAAUUACCAAGUCCAUGUAAGGUUUCUCUCACAAGGUGAUGCUCACGCUUGAUUUGAACUCUCCCAAAUCCUACCAAUCAUGACAUUAAUUGAAUCAAUUAGUUAUGAAAAUUUUGCUCUUUCUUUUGGAGUCGUCACUAACAUAUUUAAGGCUGGUUAGAAGUUGACUGAAAUGCAAGAGCUUGUUUUCCAAGAACUCAAAAUUAUAGGAACGGGAAUUAUUUAUGUCUAACUUGAAAUAUUAUCUCUUUAUUUCAAAAAUGUUUUGAACAUGCAAUCUUGCUCAUUUUCUUUUAUUCCUAGGCACAUUCAUCUAAAUGAGCAAGCAUUGCAAUUUUGCACAGGAACAAUUAACAUUCACGUAACCCCAUAAUCCGAACAAGAUAAAAGUACUUAAUAGUGGGAUGCAGAAAUGAUAGGGCGUCGGACAAAUUAUAUACACCGCCAUAUUGUUAAACCCUAGGACAUGACCCUAUGAGCUAAACCCUAAUCUAAUCAUGCAUGCGAUUCUAUUGAAGUGAUGCUAUCAUCCUAGAAUAAAUUAAUGAUGCCAUAUUAAGGGAGCGUUUGUUUAACAGACAAUAAAUGAUUUAGAAAACAUUUUCUAUAAAAAAAAUCGAUUACAAUGCUUAUAAAAUGAACGGACGACGUGUAUGAAAAUAUUUAGAUAUAAAUUGUUGUCGAUAAUAAAAAUAUUUUUUAUUGACUAAUUAUUUCAAGUGAUACAACUAAUUAUUUUAGGAAAAUAUUUUUUAUAUCAUUCAUUUUCUGUAAAACAAAUGCAGCCUAAGACAACAAACUAAUCUAACCCUAACAUGCUAUUCAUUAUCAAAACAUGACCUCAUUGUUUUUGUUAUGCGAUUCUAAAAUGAAAUAUUACUAAGGCUCCAAUUGUUUCGCGAAUAACAUUUUCUAGGAAAAUAUGUUCCUCAUUUUCUGACGAUUGAUUUGCUUAAGAAAAUGAGCCCAUGAAAAAUAUUUUCAUAGUCAACGAAAAAUCUAGUCUUCAUUUUUUUUUUUUGAAAAAUGAUUUUUUUCUUUAAAAAUUAGAAAUAUUUUUUAAAAUAUAACUAAAUAUCUGUGCUUGGACUCAAAAUUCUACCCAAGUCCAUUGAGGUUAGGCCCCAACCCUUGGUGCUCGUGCCCUAUGCCCUAUUAUUCGAGUGUGUGAAAAGAUAGAUAAAUUCAAAAGUCUGAAGCUCCUUGUUCUUUGUUGUUUCAAUUGUUGAGCUUAAAAUUGUACUCAAAAGAGAGAUUAGAUACUUGUGAGAUCUUGAGGAAGUGUAGCAAAGUCUCUACACUGUGAAAUCAAUGACGUGAGAAUGUAAAAUCUCUUUUGAUUCUUAAUAGAAUUCAGCCAGUGAGCUAUCAAUGCGGGAGAGUGAACGUAGGUUUAGUUUAAGCCGAACCACUAUAAACCUUGUGUUUUGAUUCUCUAUCCCUAAACUCUUUACUUUAAAUCGCAGCUCUAUAUAAUAGUUUAUAGUUGUUCACAACUUCAGUUUAUUAUUCUUAGAAGUCAAUUUGUUUUGAUAAGAUUUACAAAAACUUCUUUGAUCACAUAUUCACCCCUCUCUAGGUGCUCAGACUAGCCUUUUCAAUUGGUAUCAGAGCAUGUGUACUCUUUAAAUUGAAGUGUUUUUACUUAUGAGUUAAAGAUAUAUGGCUAGUAUGUUGGCUCCAGGUUUGGUUGAAGGCCAAAGCAACACCAGACCUCCUUACUUCAAUGGAAAGGAAUACAACAUACGGAAAAAUAAGAUGAAGGCAUUUCUAAGAUCGAAAGAUCCUCUGGAAUGAGAUGUGGUAGAAAAAGGAAUCAUUCCUAAAGCUACAUCAGUCUCAAAGAGGGGAAAAGAACUUGCAGAAGUUGGCGAGACAACUCAAGAAGAGAUAACCAAGAGACAAGCUCUUGACACAAAAGCGAUUUAUUCUUUAUAUUGUACGUUAUCUCCCACUAAAUACAAUAGAAUAUCUUCUUGUGAAACGGCCAAAGAAGUCUGGGAUAGACUGCACAUUACCUAUGAAGAAAUUAAUCAAGUGAAAGAAACAAUGAUCAAUAUUUUACUCGGACAGUAUGAAGCCUUCAAGAUAAAGUUAGGAGAAUCAAUCACUGAUAUGUUUAGUCGCUUCACUGAAAUUGUAAAUGGUCUAGAGUAUCAGGGACAACCAAUCUCAAGAUCCAUGAAAGUUAAUAAAUUGUUGCGUGGACUUUCCAAAGACUGGAAUCACGUAAAGACUUCAAUAAGGGAAAUACAAAUGAUCAUGCCGCUCUCCGUAGAAGAAUUAGUUGGCACACUUCAGUCUUAUGAAGUGGAACAAAUCAAUGAUAAAAAAGAUCCCAAAGGUAAGAAAUCUAUUGCCUUAAAAUUUAACAAUGAUUAUGAUGUUACAGACUUUGAAGAAGAUUUAGACGAUGAAGAGCUAGCACUUAUGAUAAGAAGAUUCAAGAAAUUGAACAAGAAGGGAAGAAUAUUCAAUUGGAAGAAACAAAGCACUCAUAGGUCUCAUAACAAAUCAACUGAGGAUGAUGAAUCCAAUAAAGAUGUGAUUUGCUUUGAAUGCAAGAAAAUGGGACACAUUAGACCCAACUAUCCUUUGUUGAAGAAAAAGAAAGGAAAAACUAAGAAAUACAUAAAGGCUCUCAAGGCAGAAACAUAGAGUGAUACUGAAUGCGAAGAAAGUGAUGAUGAUUAUACCAACAUUUGUUUAAUGGAAAAAUCAUAAUCAGACUUAGACUUUGAGACAGAUAUAGACUCAGACUCAAACAGUGAAAUUGAGGUAAGCAAUUUAAAAAUUACUACUAAAGUCUCAAAAUAUAUUAAUGUACUAAAGUCUCAAAAUAUAUUAAUGAACUUUAUCUUAAUCUCAAAACUUCUUUUAAGAGGAUUUCCGAGCUAAAAAGGGAGAAUUCUACACUGAAGCAACAUGAAAUCUCUUGGAAAGAAAAGUUUGAUAAUUUAGACAAAAAUUUUGACAUUUUGAAAGAAAAUGCAAACUCUCUUUCAAAAGAAAAUACAUGUUUGAAAAAUGACAUUUAAAAUAUUUCAAAAGGGUUUUCAAUGGGAUCUGAGAAGCUAGAAAAGAUUUUUUCGAUACAAAGAUCUUACUUUAACAAAUCAGGUUUAGGAAUGACUUCUGGAACCAUUCCUCUCAUUGAUUUUCCGAAAGUAAAGGAAAGAAUUAAACAGAGACCUACAAAAAGCCUUUUAUAGAAAUCAUUUUCAAAAAGUUUUUGUAAAACCUGUUGGUCGAAGUGCUCUCAAAUGUUCUAAGUGUUACAGCUCAUAACACUUUGAAAAAGAAUGUCCUAUGGUUUGGAGACCUGUUAAGAAGGAUUGGGUAAAGACUGUAUAUUGCACUAACUCCACUAGAUCUAAGAAAAUGUGGGUACCAAAGAAAACUUGAGUUUCUUUUUUAAUUGUAGGUCACUAUCAAGAAGAAAAUUAAAUGGUAUUUGGAUAGUGGCUGUUCGAGACACAUGACUAGCGAUCAAGAUGUUUCACAAAGCUUGUUCAAAUCAAUGGAGGAAAAGUCUCUUUUGGUGGAAAUAGCAAAGAAAGAAUUAUUGAAUGCGAAACAGUAAAGAUUGGAGGUCUCACAAUCAAUAAUAUCUCUUUGGUGGAAGGACUAAACUGUAAUCUACUCAGCAUAAGUCAACUAUGCGCCACUGGGUUCAAAAUCAAUUUCUAGGAAGGGACAUGUUUAGGAACCAGUAAAGAUUACUCUCAAUCUUUUACCCGGCGUAGACAUGGGAAUAUUUAUCUUCUACAUUUAAAACCAGAAAGACCUCAAUGCCUAAUAUCAAUACAAGACGAAGCGAAUCUCUGGCAUCGAAAGCUUGACCAUAUCAACAUGAAGCAAAUUGCCAAAAUUUCUUCCAAGAAGCUUGUUCGAGGUCUACCCAACCUGAAAUACCAAAAAUCUGACUUAUGCACACCAUGUGUGUUGGGAAAAUAGGCUAGAAGUUCUUUUAAACCAAUAAGUCAAGUUUCCACUAACUAUGUGCUGCAGCUCUUUCAUAUGGAUCUCUUUGGACCAAUUAGAACUCAAAGUAUUGGUGGAAAGAGAUUUUGCCUAGUAAUAGUGGAUGAUUAUUCGCGAUUUACUUGAGUUUACUUUCUGGCAAGUAAGUCUAAAACCUUCUCUCAUUUUUCAAAGUUCGAUAAGAAAGUGCAGAAUGAAAAAGGUUAUGAUAUUUCAAGAAUACGAAUAGACCAUGGAGGUGAGUUUGAAAAUCAAGACUUUGGCAAAUUCUGUGAUGAAUCUGGUUUUCAGCACGUGUUCUCUUCUCCAUAUACUCCUGAACAAAAUGGAGUUGUGGAAAGGAAGAAUAGAUCUUAACAAGAGAUGGCAAGAACUCUUUUAAUUGAAAGUAAUAUUUCUUCUCAAUUUUGGGCUGAAGCAGUUUCUACAGCGUGUUAUAUUAUUAACAAAGUAUUUUUAAGGCAUAUUCUGGAGAAAACUCCCCAUGAGUUAUUCAGAGGAAAGAAGCCAGUUGUUUCUUAUUUUCAUGUGUUUGGUUGCAAAUGUUUUAUCUUGAAAAAUGCAAAUGAUCGAAUUAGUAAGUUUGAAGAAAAAUCAGACGAAUGAAUCUUCCUUGGAUACUCAACAUCUAGCAAAGCCUACAGAAUAUUCAACAAGAAGACUCAGUCUAUGGAAGAAUCGAGGAAUGUCAAAUUUCAAGACUCUCUGCAAAAUCAAUCGAUUCAAACUCGAACUAAAGAAUCUGAACCUGCUCCAAACUCUACAAAGUCUACCUCCCUUGAAGCAGCUCAGACUCCAGAAGAAAAAUAACAAACGGAUGUUGAAAAUUCAACUGAAGAAGAAGAUCAACAAUCUGUCAGAAUGACUAGCAACUAGAAGCAUAAGUCUAGUCAUCCCAAAGAACUCAUUAUUUGUGAUAUUAAUGAAUGGAUUCGUACUAGAUCCAAAAGGCAAGAAGAGUCUAGCGUUGUGACACUUAUUUCUGAAAUAGAAUCCAAAAGCAUAUAAGAAGCUUUAACUGACGAAAAUUGGAUUGAAGCAAUGCAAGAAGAAUUUAGACAGUUCAGCAUUAACAAUGUUUGAGAAUUAACUCCUAAACCAAAAGGUAAGUAUAUUAUUGGAGCUAAAAGGGUUUUCAGGAACAAAAUGGACAAAAAAGAAAAAUGAUAAGGAACAAAGCAAGACUCGUGGUCAAAGGAUAUAUGCAAGAAGAAUGGAUAGACUAUGAUGAGACCUACGCUUCUGUAGCAAGGUUAGAAGCAAUUAGAUUAUUGCUUGCUUUUGCUUAUUAUAAGAAUUUUAGGUUAUUCCAAAUGGACGUCAAAAGUGCAUUCCUAAAUGGAUUUAUUCAAGAAGAAGUCUAUGUGGAACAACCUCCCAGAUUUGAAGACCCAAGGAAAACAGACUUUGUAUUCAGACUGAAAAAGGCUCUAUAUGGAUUAAAACAAGCACCUCGAACUUGGUACGACAUGUUAAGUAAGUUUUUAAUUCAAAAUGGCUUUGUUAAAGGAAAAGUAGACACUACCUUAUUUAUUAAAAAGGAAGGUAAAAACUUUUUACUUGUUCAAAUUUAUGUUGAUGAUAUUAUAUUUGGUUCACCUAACAAAAACCUGUGCAAAAAGUUUUUUAAGUCAAUGCAGGAUGAAUUCGAAAUGAGAAUGAUGGGUGAACUAUCCGUCUUUCUCGGACUAUAAGUAAAACAAUUAAAGAAAUGAAUUUUCAUUCACCAAGAAAAAUAUACUAAAGAACUUGUUAAAAAGUUUGGAUUGGAGAAUUGCAAAAAGACCGAUAUACCAAUGUCAAGUUCUUCGAAGCUAGACAAAGACGAAUGAGGAAAGAAAGUUGACUAGAAACUGUAUAAGAGUAUCAUUGGUUCACUUCUUUAUCUUACUGCUUCUAGACCUGACAUUUUGUUUAGUGUUUGCAUCUGUGCUAGAUUUCAAUUUGAUCCAAAAGAGUCUCAUCUAAGCGCCGCAAAACGCAUCAUCAAAUACAUUGCAACUACUUCAAGCUUAGGUUUGUGGUAUCCCAAAGAAUGAGACUUUACUCUCCUUGGAUAUUCAGACGCAGAUUUAGUAGGUUGCAGAGUUGAUAGGAAGAGCACUUUAGGCACUUGUCAAUUGCUUGGUAACAGAACAGUAUCUUGGUUUUCAAGGAAGCAAAGUACUGUAGCUAUUUCAACAGUAGAAGCAGAGUAUGUGGCUCUUGAAAGUUGUUAUUCUCAAAUCUUAUGGAUAAAACAACAACUAAGAGACUUUGGAAUCGAAGACUCAUGUUUCGAGAUCAAAUGUGACAACACAAGCGCGAUGAAUCUCACAAAAAAUCCAAUUAUUCAUUCAAGAGCAAAGCACAUAGAGAUUCGACACCAUUUUAUUAGAGAUCAUGUUCAAAAUGGAGAAGUCUUGAUCCAAUUCAUUGACUCAAAGAAUCAGCUGGUGAACAUAUUCACAAAACCGCUAGAGAAAAGCUUAUUUGAGUCUAUUUGCUCCAGACUUAACAUCUUAUCUCUUAAAGUCUGAAAAAGCUCAGACUCAGGGUUAAAGUCUGAAGAUGCUCAGACUCAGAAGACCAAGGGUUACGACUGUAAGUUAUUUCGGUUCUAGCAAUUUAGCUUUCGGAUAAAAACUCGAAAAUGUACGAUUGCUUAUUAAUCGCCAAUUGAUUGAUGUUAUCUUUCCAAGUUUUUAAAGUUGUAGCAAUUAUUCUUUUUUGAAAAAGGAAGUUAUCAUUUUUUAAAUGACAGUUAUUUAUUUUCAAAAAGGCAGUUAUUCAUUUUGAAAAGGCAUUUUUAUUUGUUCUUUUAUGACGAUGCGUAUACCUCGUUUCGACUGCUUUAUAUACUAUCUUUCUUCUUCAUUUUUACUCACAAACCCUAGAGCACAUAACUUCACUUUCUUACUUUUUUUCUCUCUAGUUUAAUUCUAAAAGUUUUAAUCUUUCUCGCGAAUCAAGUUCGAAAAUUCUCUCAAAGACUGGGACAAUGUCUUCUCAAAGAAAAUCCUCAAGGAUAGCAAGUAGGGGACCACAGUAUAUGCGUGAGGGUCCUACGCACUUCGAUCUGACCAAGGAAGAAGACUCUUCAAGGAAGCAACAAAGUCAACAACAACAUUCUCAACCAUACCAUUCUUCUCAAGCUAGACCACAUGAGCCUCAGUAACAAUAAGCAGAGGAAGAAAUUAUUGAGGAUGUUGAACCUAUAAGGACUCUUAAGCCUGCAUUUACUUUCAAACUCUACAUCGCCCUGAAGGAAGGUGGUUCUCCAAUGACCUUUAUUGAUGAAUUUUUUUAAAGCAAAUGAGUACCGAAAUGAAACCAAUUUUCUAAGAACGAUGGAACGUUUGGGAAUCGCUCCUGUUGGUUCAGCAGAAAGGGCUUUUGCGAAUUUCUCAAGUGAUCCACGUUUUGGAGGAUUUAAUCAACCUAAGGGUAAAGAUGAGGAUGAAAAGAUGUUCACUUAUUUUAAGCCUAGAAUGGGUGUUGCUGUGAAAAUUCAAGGAAGUAGAAUGGAUCUGUUUCGUUCUGAGAAACACAAGUGAGUUUAUGCUAAACUGCUGAAGCGAGGGGUGAUGAACCCAAGGAGUGUGGAUUUUGAUUUUCUUGAUUUAUUGAAUGUAAAGUUACGGGAGAAGUUUUAUUUACUUGAACUUGAACGAUAUGCUCUAAGACAACCAUAGCUUAUCCGAAACUUACAGCAUAUUUCUAUUCCAAUCUAAGUUUUUUAGAUGUGAAUAAAUUUUCUUUCAACGUUAGAGAUCAGGAUUAUGUGGUAGAUAUGUAUACUCUAGCUGAUGUGAUUGGAGUGGAGAGAGGGAUUUUCCAAACAAUCAGCGUGUCUGUUGGUCAUGCCACUAUGGAGCUUGUUCGAGAUAGAAUUGCAGAAGGCCGGAUUUCGUAUUUGAGGAUGAGUGCCUCUAAUGUCUUGCUCCAUAAGAUUGUGAUUAACUGUCUCAGAACCAAAUCCACAUCAAAGACUGAUGUCUUCAAUUCUGAAGCGAAGCUGAUGUAUGCCAUCAACAUUGGUUACAAGUUCUCUCUACCUCAUACCAUAAUGUUUCACAUGUAUCAGUCAAUGGUAAAGGACAAGGGACAACUUCCUUACUUUGCUCUUUUUACUUGUCUAUUCAAACAUCUUAACAUUCAACCUCCCGGAAUUCUAUGUGUUCGAACCAGUGUUCCAAUGGUGGUAGGAUUGAAGAUGGUUUCAAAGAUGCGUUUGAAUGAGCUAAACAAGGCUUUAGAGAGAUUUAAGGAGAAGACAUAUGUCAAGACUCAACAAGACCUUGUGGCUGCAAAAAGAAAAGGGAAGGAGCCCAUGACAGCUCCAUCUAAGAAGAGGAGAGCACUCAUCUUGCAGGAUGAAGAAGAUGAGGAUGACAUAACUAUCUCAGCUCUUGCCUUAAAGAAUUUAUAGCGUCUUGUUCCUGAGACAGAGACUCAAGAAAACCAAGACAGAGAGGAGACAAAGUAGGGGAGUGAAGAGAGGGAAAUGAUGAGGAAAGAAGAAGAAGAAGAAGAAGAAGAAGAAGAAGAAGAAGAAGGAAGAACAGAAGAAGAAGAGCGAAGAGGAGAACAAACAUAAGGAGAAAGUCAUGGUGAUUCUCCAGCAGAGGAAGAAGAACAAGAUCAUCGUGACAUUGGAGAAGAGCCAGAGCAAGAAGAGUACUUUUCUCCACCUGAAGGCAUUGAAACAGGGGAAGCUGUUGAUAAAAGAGGUACUCCUUCACUUACUUUUACUAGUGAUGAUGUUAGUCGUUCUCCCACCGAUCUAGAGGAAGUGUAUGCCUCUCACUUUCCUGAAGAAGGUAAUGAGGCUUCAUCUCCAAGUCUGGAUGUUCGUGCUGAAGUUCCAUCAUCUGGCAACACUCCACAAACUGAUCAUGCUGAAGCAAGCACUCAAACUGACAACUCAGCCAACUUUAAAAGAUUGCUUGAACUUCUUCUGGAAAUCAAAGGUCAGAUUUAUGCCUUGGGAUGUGAAUUUCAGAGCAUGUAGAAUGCUCAUCAAGCCACUUCAGUUUGUUGAAGAAAACUUCCUUGAGUGUUUUGAAGUUGACAAAACGUUUCCAUCAGUCUAGUCUGAAGACUUGCAGACUCUUCCAUCAAAGUCUGAAGACCUCCGGACUGCUAGACUCAAGACUCAAAGUCUAUCCUCAUUGACAGUUUCUAAACCGUCGAAGAAGGCUUAUCCAGAAUUGAGUAUUUCGUUAAAGAUUUGAUUCUAUCGACUGAAGAAGAUCUCUUGGCUGGAUAUAGCAUGUUGGAAUCCAUUAUUCAAAUUGAGAUUGAUUAAGGGAUUUUGGAUCUGUUGAUUAGCAAAGUAUACUUGGAAGGUUCUACUUAUGGAAACCUAGAUCCUGAUUUUAUGGGUGAGCAGGAUUGGUGGGCUAUCGUCAUAUUCCUUAAAUAACUCGAAAUCUCCCUAAUUGAUUUUGUCCAACGGGUAGAUUGGAAGAACUCAUUUGGUAAGUGCCAACAGAUGUGAUGGCAUGAAUGAGUAUAUAAGGAAGACGUUCCAGUUGUUCGAGUGAGUGCACGAUAGAAGAAUUCCCAAGUCUGAAGCUCCUUGUUCUUAGUCAAUUCAAUUGUUGAGCGAAAUCUUGUACUCAAAAGAGAGUUUAUAUCUUUGUGAGACCUUGAGGAAGUGUAGCAGAGUCUCUACACUGUGGAAUCAAGGAAGAGCUUUACUGUAACAACUUUUUUUAUUCAUAGUGAAAUCUAGCCGGUGGGCUGUUAGUGCGGAAGAGUGGACGUAGGCUUGGAUUAAGCCGAACCACUAUAAACCCUGUGUUCUUAUUCUCUUCCCUAUGCUCUUUUACUUUGAUCAUAAUUCAACUUGAUAACAAGAGUCUAAUUUUCUUUUCAUAAUCUAUUGCUGAUCAGAACUGCUCACUUCACUCUGAAAAAUUGUUUUUGCACCUAUUCACCCCCUCUAGGUGCUAAUACUAGCUUUCACAAUUGGUAUCAGAGCCUGUGUACUCACUUAAGUUGAAGUGUUUUACUUCAGAGUUAAAGAUCCAUGGCUAGUAUUUGGCUCUAGGUCUGCUUGAAGAGCAAAGCAAUACCAGAUUGCCUUAUUUUGAUGGAAAGGAAUACAGCAUAUGGAAAAACAAGAUAAAUGCAUUCCUAAGAUCAAAGGAUCCUCUAGAAUGGGACGUGGUAGACAAAGGAAUCAUUCCUAAAGCUGCACCAGUCUCAGAAAGAGGAAAAGAAGCUGUUGAGUCCAGUGAAAUGACUCAAGAAGAGAUAACCAAGAGACAAGCUCUUGAUGCAAAAGCAAUUUAUUCUUUAUAUUGUGCAUUAUCUCCUACUGAAUAUAAUAGAAUAUCUUCUUGUGAAACAGCUAAAGAAGUCUGGGAUAGAUUACAUAUCACCUAUGAAGGAACUGAUCGAGUGAAAGAAACCAGAAUCAACAUUCUGCUCGGUAAAUACGAAGCAUUCAAGAUGAAACCAGGAGAAUCCAUCACUGACAUGUUUAGUCAUUUUACAAAAAUCGUGAAUGGUCUUGAAUAUCAAGGUCAACCAAUAUCUGGACCCAUGAAGGUAAACAAGCUACUGCGUGGACUGUCCAAGGAUUGGAAUCAUAUAAAGACCUCAAUAAGAGAGAUACAAAGAAUCAUGCCAUUCUCUGUUGACGAAUUGGUUAGGACUCUUCAAUCUUAUGAAGUUGAGCAAAUCAACGAAGAUGAAGAUCCUAAAGGUAAGAAAUCCAUUGCAUUAAAAUCUAGUGAUGAUUCUGAUGUCACAGAUUCUGAAGACAAUAUGGAUGAUGAAGAGCUUGCUCUCAUGAUAAGAAGGUUCAGGAAACUGAACAGAAAGGGGAGAAUAUUCAAUCCAAAGAAACAAAGUUUUCAAAAGCUACAAAAUAAAUCAGUUGAGGAUGAUGAAUGCAAUAAAGAUAUAGUCUGCUUUGAAUGCAAGAAAAUGGGACACAUCAGACCCAACUGUCCUCUUCUGAAGAGAAAGAAAGGAAAAGCUGAGAAAUAUCGAAAGACACUUAAAGCAUAAACUUGGAGUGAUACCGAAUGUGAGGAAAGUGAUGAUGAUUAUGCCAAUAUUUGUCUCAUGGCACAAUCAAACUCGGAUUCAGACUCCAAGACAGACUUAAAUUAGACAGUGAAAUCGAUGUAAGUAAUUUAAAAAUCCCUACUAAAGUCUCUAGAUACAUAGAUGAAUUGUGUCUUAGUCUCAAAACCUCUCUCAAAAAGAUUUCCAAACUUAAAAGGGAAAUUCUGCACUGAAACAACUGGAAAAUGUUUGGAAAGAGAAGAUCAAAAGUUUAGACAAAAGUGUUACUACUUUGAAAGAAAAUGCAGACAAUCUUUAAAAAGAAAAUGCAUUAUUGAAAAAUGAUAUCUCAAGUAUUUCUACAAGAUUUUCUAUAGGAUCUGAGAAACUUGAAAAAAUUCUUUCGGCACGAAGACCUUACUUCAACAAAUCAGGUUUAGGAAUGACUGCUGAAACCAUUCCUCUAAUUGAUUUUCCUAAAGUAAAUGAAAGAAUUAAGCAAAGACCUACAAGAGAUUCUUACAAAAAUCAUUUCCAAAAAGUUUUUGUAAAACCUGUAGGCCGCAGUGCUCUUAAAUGUUCUAAGUGCAAUAGCUCAGAUCAUUUUGAGAAAGAAUGUUCUAUGUUUUGGAAACCUGUUAAGAAGGUAUGGGCAAAGACCAUAUAUUACACUAACACCAAUAGACCCAAGAAAAUAUGGGUACCAAAGAAAGCUUGAGUCUCUUUUCUAAAUGCAGGUUACUAUCAAGAAAAAUGUUAAAUGCUACUUGGAUAGUGGAUACUCAAGACAUAUGACAGGAGACUCAAAUUGCUUCAUAAAACUUGUAUAAGUUAAUGGUGGAAAAGUUUCUUUUAGAGGAAAUAGCAAAGGAAGAAUUGUGGGAUACGGAACUGUAAAGAUUGGAAGCCUCACGAUCUGUAAUAUUUCCUUAGUGGAAGGACUCAACUACAACUUGCUGAGUAUCAGUCAGCUGUGCGACACUGGUUUCAAAAUCAACUUUCAAGAAGGAAUAUGUUCAGGAACCAGUAAAGACUCCUCUCAGUCUUUCACGGGGCAAAGACACGGAAAUAUCUACCUCUUGGAUAUCAAACCAAAUGAAACCUAAUGUCUAAUCUCAAUUCAAAAGGAAGCAAACUUAUGGCACAGAAAACUUGGGUACAUCAACAUGAAGCAAAUAGCCAAAAUCUCAGCAAAGAAACUUGUUCGUUGACUACCCAAACUGACAUACCAAAAGUCUGAUCUAUGCACACCAUGCGUAUUGGGAAAACAAGUAAGAAAUUCAUUCAAACCAAUAAAUCAAGUAUCCACUAAUCGUGUACUGCAGCUCUUGCAUAUGGAUCUCUUUGGACCAAUCAGAACUCAAAGCAUUGGAGGUAAGAAAUACUGCUUAGUAAUUGUGGAUGAUUAUUCAUGAUUCACUUGGGUAUAUUUCCUAGUAAGUAAGUCUGAAACAUUUUCUUAUUUUAUAAAAUUUGCUAAAAAGGUCCAAAAUGAGAAAGGGUAUGUUAUUUCAAGUAUACGGACAGACCAUGGAGGUGAAUUUGAAAAUCAAGACUUUGCAAAACUUUGUGAUGAAUCUGGCUUUCGACAUGUGUUCUCUUCACCAUAUACUCCAGAGCAAAAUGGAGUCGUGGAAAGAAAGAAUAGAUCGCUGCAAUAAAUGGCUAGAACUCUUUUAAUUGAAAGCAACAUCUCUUCUCGUUUUUGGUCUGAAGCAGUUUCUACAGCGUGUUAUAUUAUUAAUAGAGUCUUCUUAAGGCCUAUUCUGGAGAAAACUCCCUAUGAGUUAUUCAAAGGAAAGAAGCCAUUUGUUUCGUAUUUUCAUGUGUUUGGAUAUAAAUGUUUUAUAUCAAAAAAUUGCAAAUGAUCGAGUUAGUAAGUUUGAAGAAAAAUCAGAUGAAUGUAUUUUCCUUGGAUAUUCUAUCACAAGCAAAGCUUACAGAAUAUACAACAAAAGACUCAAUCUGUGGAGGAAUUGAUGAAUGUCAAAUUUCAAGACGUUAUGCAAAUCAAUCGAUUCAAACUCAACUUGAAGAAUCUGAACCUACUCCAGACUCUACAAAGUCUAAAUCUCCAGAAGCAGCUCAGACUUCAGAAGACCAGCAACAAAUGAUCAUCGAAGAUUCAAAUGAGAAAAAUGAUCAACAGUCUCACAAAUCAACCAGCAACUGGAAGCAUAAGUCCAGUCAUUCAAAAGAUCUCAUUAUUGGUUAUAUUAAUGAAGGAAUUCACACAAGAUCCAAAAGGCGUGAAGAGUCUAGUGCCGUGGCUCUUAUAUUUGAAAUAAAACCCAAAAGCAUAGAAGAAGCUUUAACUGAUGAAAGUUGGAUUGAAGUUAUGCAAGAAGAACUCAGGCAAUUCAGUAUCAAUGAUGUCUGUGAAUUGACUCCUAAACCGAAAGGUAAAUCCAUCAUUGGAGCUAAAUGGGUUUUCAGGAACAAGAUGAACGAGAAAAGAAAAGUCGUAAGAAACAAAGCAAGACUCGUGGCCAAAUGAUAUACGUAAGAAGAAGGGAUAGACUAUGAUGAGACUUACGCGCCAGUAGCAAGGUUAGAAGCAAUUAGAUUAUUACUUGCUUUUGCUUGUCAUAAGAAUUUCAGGUUAUUCCAAAUGGACGUCAAAAGUUCUUUCCUAAAUGGAUUUAUCCAAGAGGAAGUCUAUGUGGAACAACCACCCGAUUUUGAAGACCCAAGGAAACCGGACUCUGUAUUUAGACUGAAAAAGGCUCUAUAUGGUCUAAAGCAAGCACCUCGAGCUUGGUACGACAAAUUAAGUAAGUUUUUAAUUCAAAAUGGCUUUGUUAAAGGUAAAGUAGAUCUACAUUGUUUGUCAAAAGAGAAAGCAAAAGCUUUUUACUUGUUGAAAUUUAUGUUGAUAUUAUUUUUGGAUCUUCUAAUGAAAAUCUGUGCAAGAAAUUCUCUAAGUCUAUGCAGGAUGAAUUUGAAAUGAGCAUAAUGGGUGAACUAACCUUCUUUCUCGGGCUUCAAGUGAAACAACUGAAGGAGGGAACCUUUAUUCAUCAAGAAAAAUAUGAUAAAGAACUUGUCAAAAAGUUUGGACUGGAGAAUUGCAAAAAGACUGAUAUACCAAUGUCAACUUCCUUGAAGUUGGACAAAGAUGAAGGAGGAAAGAAAGUUGACCAUAAGCUAUAUAGGAGUAUCAUUGGUUCACUUAUUUAUCUUACUGCUUCUAGACCUGAUAUUCUGUUUAGUGUUUGUAUUUGUGCCAGAUUUCAAUCAGACCCCAAAGAAUCUCAUUUAAGUGCUGCAAAACGUAUUAUCAAAUACAUUGCCUCAACUUCAAAUUUAGGUCUCUGGUAUCCUAAAGAAGGAGACUUCACUCUUCUUGGAUACUCAGACGCAGAUCUAGCCGGAUGCAGAGUUGAUAGAAAGAGCACCUCUGGCACAUGUCAACUACUUGGUAACAAGACAGUAUCUUGGUUUUCAAGGAAGCAAAGUACUGUAGCUCUUUCUACGGCAGAAGCAGAGUAUGUAGCUCUUGGAAGUUGUUGUUCACAAAUUCUAUGGAUAAAACAAUAGCUAAGAGACUUUGGAAUUGAAGAUUCAUGCACUGAGAUCAAAUGUGACAACACCGGCGCAAUCAAUCUCACCAAGAAUCCGAUUAUUCACUCAAGAGCAAAACAUAUAGAUAUUCGACAUCAUUUCAUUAGAGAUCAUGUUCAAAAUGGAGAAGUUUCGAUUCAGUUUAUUGAUUCAAAGAAUCAACUGGCGGAUAUAUUUACAAAACCUUUGGAGAAAAAUUAAUUUGAAGUUAUUCAUUCCAGACUCAAUAUCUUAAAGUCUGAGGAAGUUUAGACUCAAGGUUGAAAGUCUAAAGACACUCAGACUUAGACGAUCAAGAUUCAUGAUUGUAAGUUAUUUCUAUUUUAGAAACUUAUCUCUUGGAUCAAAUCUCGAAAAGGUACGAUCAUCUAUCUGUAAUUGAUUGAUGUUAUUUCCCCAGUUUUCGUGAUUAUUGCAAUAUUUCCUUUACGAAAAGAAGUUAUUUUUGAAAUGACGGUUAUCUAAUUUUUUUUUUGAAAAGGCAGUUAUUUUUUAAAGGAAUUUUUAUAUUUCCUUUUACGACAUUCUGUAUGCCUCGCUUCGACUGCCUUAUAUACUGUUAGUUUUUCUUCGUUUUACUCACAAAAACCCUAAGAGAGCACAUAUCUUCCACUUCUCUUUUCUUCUCUUGUUUAAUCCUCGAAAAGUUUUCACCUUUCUUGCAAAACAAGCUUGGAAUCUCUCAAAGACUGUGAAAGAUGUCGUCUCAAAGAAAGUCUUCGAGGAUCGCGAACAGGGGACCACAACAAAUGCGUGAGGGACCUACGCAUUUUGAUCUCACCGAGGAAGAAGAAUCUCCUAGACAGCAGCAGAGCCCAUAAUAUUCUCAGCAACGUCCAUCUCCUCCAUCUAGACCUCAGAAUAUUGAACAUCGAGAAGAUGAAGAAAUCAUCGAAGAUGUAGACCCCGUAAGAACUCAAAAGCCCGCUUUUACUUUUAAGCUUUACCGUGCUUUGAAGAGGGGUGGUACUCCUUUGAAUUAUAUUGAUGAAUUUUUGAAAGACAAAGGGUAUCGAAAUGAAACCUACUUUUUACGCACAAUGGAACGAUUGGGAAUUGCUCCUAUAGGGUCAACAGAAGAAGCAUUGGCAAAUAUCCCAAGCAAUCCACGUGUUGGAGGGCUGAGUCAACCUGAUGGGAAUGAUGAUGAUAGGAUGUACACUUAUUUUAAACCUAGAAUGGGUGUUGCGGCGAAAAUCCGAAGCAAAACGACAGAUUUGUUUCGCUCAGAGGAACACAAGCAACUAUACUCUAAGUUGCUAAAGCGUGGUGUGAUUAACUCUAGAAGUGUGGACUUUGAUUUUCUUGAUUCUCUAAAUGUCAAGCUGCGAGAGUUCAAUCUUCUUCAACUAGAACGGUUUUGUUCUGAAACAACAGAGGCUCAUGCUGAACUCACUGCUUACUUCUAUUCGAAUCUAAGUUUCUUGGAUACGAAUAGAUUCUCUUUCAGUGUUCGAGAUCAGGGCUAUGUGGUUGACAUGGAUACAUUGGCUGAUGUGAUUGCGGUUGAAAGAGGGAAAUACCAACCAAAUAGUGUGUCUAUUGGUCGUGCGACGAUAGAGCUUGUUCGGGAUAGAACGACGGAAGGAAAGAUUUCAUAUUUGAGGAUGAAUGCCUCAAAUAUUUUGCUUCACAAGAUAGUGAUCAACUGCCUCAGACCCAAAUCGACUUCGAAGACUAAUGUUUCAAACUCGGAGGCAAAGCUGAUGUAUGCUAUUAACGCUAGCAAAAAGUUCUCUCUUCCACACACUAUUAUGUUCCACAUGUACAGAACGAUGGUGGAGGACAAAGGCCAACUUCCUUACUCAGCACUUGUCACUAAGUUAUUCAGACAUUUGAACAUUCAGCCUCCCAGGAUUUUUUGUGUUCAAACAUGCGAUCAAAUGGUAGUGGGAUUGAAAAUGGUCUCUAAAAUGCGUCUGAAGGAACUUAACAAGGCUUUGGAGCAAUUCAAGGUUAAAACCCCUGUCAAGACUCACCCAGUCUCUUUGGCUGCAAAACGGAAAGGGAAGGAGCCCAUGGUUGCUCCAUCCAACUAAAGAAGAGCACUCAUCUUGGAGGAUGAAGAGGAUGAGGAUGAUAUCACAAUUUCUGCUCUUGCAUUGAAGAACUUAAGUCAUUCUGUUCCAGAGACAGAGGUGAGAUAGGAACAAGAUAAGGAGGAGAUCGAACAGAGGACUGGAGAGAGAGAAUCAUUGGAGAAAGAAGCAGAGGAGGAAAGGAUUGAGGAAGAAGAAGAAGAAGGCAGAGGUGAACAAGAAGAAGUAGAGCAUGAAGAGUACUUCUCACCGCCUGAAGGCAAUGAAACAGAGGGAGAUGCUGAGAAAAGAGGUACGUCUUCAAUUGCUGCCACUAGUGAAGGAGUAAGUCGUUCACCAGCAGAUCUAGAAGACAUCUAUGCCUCUCAAUUUCCUGAGGAAGGCCAUGAGGUUUCGUCGCCCAAUCUGCGUGAUCGUGCUAACUUGCCAUCAUCUGCCAAUACACCUUCUGAUCGUGCAGAAGCCAGUACUCAGAUUGAUAAUUCAGCAGACUUUCGCAAAGUGCUUGAUGUUCUCUUGGAGAUGCGAGGCCAAAUUUAUGGUCUGGGAUGUUAAGUUCAGAACUUGCAAAAUGCAGGUCAAGCCUCUUCAGUUUCUUUGCAUGAUCAAAUCCAUGCCCUUACUCUUCAAGUUCAAGCAAAUGCCAAGGGUGAAGAUGUGGCUGAACUGAAGGAAGAUUUGAAAAAGUUGGAAGGGAUUGUCCAGUCAAUGGGAGAUUUCUAGCGUGUUCGUGUUCCAAAGCAAUCCUAAUUCCAUUCUCUUUUCAUCUCUACCUUUUUAAUGCUGACAAAAAGGGGGAGAGAUGUGGUGUAGAUUUGAGAUUUAAACUCUUGACUUUUGUGUUUGGCUGUUUGGCUGUGACUGGAUUUGAAUUUGGACUGUUUGAUCGUUUGUUUAUCUUAAGCACUAUUGGUAUUUCAUGGCAAAGAUAGUUGCUCAUUUACAGGACUAACCUACUUUAUGUGGAUGCAGAUUUUAAUGUUAUCUUUACUAAGAUAAUUAUCUUUUGUGAGAUAUCCAAGUUUGCUUGAGUAUUGUUUGCAGGUCAAAGUUAUCCAAAUUUGCAGGAAAGUUUUGUCACCAUCAAAAAGGGGGAGAUUGUUGGAGAAAACUUCCUUGAGUGUUUUGAAGUUGACAAAACGUUUCCAUCAGUCUAGUCUAAAGACUUGCAGACUCCUCCAUCAAAGUCUGAAGACUUCCGGACUGCCAGACUCAAGACUCAAAGUCUAUCCUCAUUGAUAGUUUCUAAACCGUCGAAUAAGGCUUAUCCAGAACUGAGUAUUUCGUUAAGGAUUUGAUUCUAUCGACUGAAGAAGAUCUCUUGGCUGGAUAUAGCAUGUCGGAAUCCAUUAUUCAAAUUGAGAUUGAUUUAGGGAUUUUGGAUCCGUUGAUUGGCAAAGUAUACUUGGAAUGUUCUACUUAUGGAAACCUAGAUCCUGAUUGUAUGGGUGAGCAGGAUUGGUGGGCUAUCGUCAUAUUCCUUAAAUAACUCGAAAUCUCCCUAAUUGAUUCUGUCCAACGGGUAGAUUGGAAGAACUCAUUUGGUAAGUGCCAACGGGUGUGAUGGCAUGAAGGAGUAUAUAAGGAAGACAUUCUAGUUGUUCGAGUGAGUGCACGAUAGAAGAAUUCCAAAGUCUGAAGCUCCUUAUUCUUAGUCAAUUCAAUUGUUGAGCGAAAUCUUAUACUCAAAAGAGAGUUUAUAUCUUUGUGAGACCUUGAGGAAGUGUAGCAGAGUCUCUACACUGUGGAAUCAAGGAAGAGCUUUACUGUAACAACUUUUUUGAUUCUUAGUGAAAUCUAGCCGGUGGGCUGUCAGUGCGGAGGAGUGGACAUAGGCUUAGAUUAAGCUGAACUACUAUAAAUCCUGUGUUCUUAAUCUUUUGAUUUGGCUUUAAUCUUUUGUUUGGACUGUGAUUGGUUUGGACUGGUUUGACCUUUUUAAAUGCUUGUAGUAUCUUAAGCUAUGUUGAUGAUUUUGGUAAGGAUAUUUGAUGUUACAAGACUAACUUGUUUUUCUGUGGAUGCAUAAUCACUACCAUCUUUAUCUUAAUCUACUUAUCUUUUAUAAGAUAUCCUUGUUUGCUUAAGUGAUGUCUUGCAGGUCUAAAGUUUCCAAAUUUGUAGGAAAGUUUUGUCAUCAUCAAAAAGGGGGAGAUUAUUGGAGAAAACUUUCCUAUUUAUUUUGAAGUUGACAAAAUGUUUCCAUCAAUCUAGUCUGAAGACUUGAAGACUCUACCGUCAAAGUCUGAAGACCUCCAGACUCAAGAUUUAAAGUCUGCCAUCAUUGACAGUUUCCAAACCGACGAAGAAAAGUAUUAUCCGUUGAAGAAGACUUAUUCAAAUGCGGGUAUAUCUUUAAUGAUUUGAUUCGUACGGUUGAAGAAUGUAUCACGGCUGGAGAUUGCACCUCGAGAUCUAUUAUUCGCUCUGAAAUUAAUUCGUGCAUUUUAGACCCGUUGAUUGGCGAAGUAUACUUGGAAGGUUCUACUUAUGGAAACCUAAAUCCUGAUUGUAUGGGGGAGCAAGAUUGGUGGGCUAUCAUCAUAUUCCUUAAAUAAUUCGAGAUCUUCCUAAUUGAUUCUGUCUAACGGGUUGAUUGGAAGAAUUCCUUUGGAAGGUGCCAACGGUUAUGAAGGCAUGGAGGAAUAUAUAAGGAAGACUCUCCAGUUAUUCGAGUGUGUGAAAAGAUAGAGAAAUUCCAAAGUCUGAAGCUCCUUGUUCUUUGUUGUUUCAAUUGUUGAGCUUAAAUUUCUACUCAAAAGAGAGAUUAGAUACUUGUAAGACCUUGAGGAAGUGUAGCAAAGUCUCUACACUAUGAAAUCAAGGACGUGAGACUGUAAAAUCUCUUUUGAUUCUUAGUGGAAUUUAGCCAGUGGGCUGUCAGUGCUGAAGAGUGGACGUAGGCUUGGUCUAAGCCAAACCACUAUAAACCUUGUGUUUUGAUUCUCUAUCCCUAAACUCUUUACUUUAAAUCGCUGCUCUAUAUAACUGUUUAUAGUUGUUCACGACUUCUGUUUAUUAUUCUUAGAAGUCAAUUUGUUUUGAUAAGAUUUACAAAAACUUCUUUGAUCAUCUAUUCACCUCCCUCUAGAUGCUCGUACUAGCCCUUUCAGAGGGAUCCUCUAAUCUUGGGAGUUCAACUUUAAAACCUUUGUCGGGAUCGAAGGAAGCUGUUGAACAAAGGAGGAGCAUCUAAAACUAAUUAGCCAAACGAAGCUAACAAUAAAUCAAGACUUUGUUUGAAAUGUCAUGGAUUUGGUCGCAUCGCCUCGAGGGUCCUAAUAGAAAGAUCAUUUCUCUUGUGCGAGAUGAGCAAUAGGGAGAGUCGCAACACAACCCUUUGCUCCAAGAAGAUACACAACCCUUUGCAGCACAACCCUUUGCUCUGAGAAGAUUCAAGGAGCCGCGAAGAAAUCAUUGACAGAGAUCAAGGAGAAGCUCUUGUCAUUCAAAGGAGCUUGCAUGCUGCUCAUCUCGAGGAUGAUGAUUGGCUUUGCAACAACAUACUCCAUACAAGACUGUACUUCUUAUUUAAAGUACGUGAUGUCACAAUUGAUAGUGGAUGUUGUGAGAACGUUGCAUGUGAGAUAGCUAGUAUAAGCACCUAGAGGGGGUGAAUAGGUGCACAAACAAUUUCUCGAGAUACGAAAGCGAUUCUAGGCAAACGAUAGAAAGGAAGUUCUCUUCUGAUUAAUAAAAUACGAUCAAAGUAAAGUAAAGAAUAGGGAAGAGAAAAUUGAACACAAGAUUUAUAAUGGUUCGGCUUAUUCCAAGCCUACGUCCACUCUUCCGCACUGACAGCCCACCGGCUGGAUUUCACUAUGAACAAAAGAGAAGUUAUGGCACAGCUUUUCCUUGAUUCCACAGUGUAGAUGUUCUACCACACUUCCUCAAGGUUUCUCACGAAUAUAGACUCUCUUUUGUUUACAAGAUUUCGCUCAACAAAUGAAUUGACUAAGAAUAAGGAGCUUCAGACUUUGGAAUUCUUCUAUCGUGCACAUGUCUCGAACAACUGGAACGUCUUCCUUAUAUACUCCUUCACGCCAUCAUACCCGUUGGCAUUUACCAAAGGAAUUCCUCCAAUCUACCCGUUGGAUGGAAUCAAUUAGGAAGAUCAUUCGAGCUAUUAAAGGAACAUGUCGAUAGCCCAUCAAUCAUGUUCGCCCAUACAAUCAGGAUCUCGGUUUCCAUAAGUAGAACAUUUCAAGUAUACUUUACCAAUCAUCGGAUCCUUAAUCUUCGAAUCAAUUAUGAUCAAAUAAAGGAUUUCGUCAUGUCAUAUCCAGCCAAGAGAUCUUCUCUCCCGCAUGGCGACAUGAGGGCGAAAAAGGGAAAUCCUUAAUGAAACAUCCAGUUCUGGAUAGCCUUUCUUCAAUGGAUUAGAAACUGUCAAUGAGGAUAGACUUUGAGUCUUGAGUCUGGCUGUCCGGAGGUCUUCAGACUUUAAAUAGCAGAGUUUGCAAGCCUUCAGACUAGACUGAUGGAAACGUUUUGUCAACUUCAAAACACUUCAAGAGGAUUUCUCCAACAGCGUGGACCACCAUGGGAGACAAGUUGCAUCUCAAGGCGGAGGAUCAUCCACAUCUUUACAAGCAUUCUUGGCUCAAGAAAGGGAGUGAGAUAAAAGUAAAUAACCAGUGCUUGAUUUCAUUCUCUAUUGGCAAAAGAUAUAAAGAUGAGAUUAUGUGUGAUGUAUAACACCUAUCCCUUUGUCAAAGACCGCGUCAAGAUUACAUUGGGCCCUUGCAAGACGGAGAGAGUUCCCAAGCCUCCUCAUGGGAAAGGAACAAAUCUUCUUUCCAAGUCUAAGUUUUCCUAAGCAUCGGAGGAUGCUUGUGAGGCUUACGCUUUUGUUAUAGUGGAAGAAAAUGAAGCAAAAGAGGAGAUCCCAAUCAUUUUGCAGCCGUGGCUUGAGGAUUUCUGUGAGGUCAUGCCAAUGAAAUUUCAUCCAACCUUCCUCCUUUGAGAGAGAUUCAACAUCAUAUCGAUUUUGUGCUUGGUGCUUCUGUUCAAUCGAUUGAGCUCUGAGAAGCAUAAAGAACUUCAAAGGCAAGUUGAUAAACUCUUGGCCAAGGGAGCAAUACAAGAAAGCUCGAGUCCUUUUGCUGUCCAGGCACUUCCAGUUCCAAAGAAAAAUGGUUCUUGGCAAAUGUGCAUUGAUAAUAGAUCGGUGAACAACUUAACCAUCAAGUUUUUUCCUUUUCCUUGCCUUGGUAUUUGCUUGAUCAACUUCAAGGAGCUUGUGUGUUUUUCCAUGAUCAAUCUUCGGAGCAGCUAUUGUCAAAUCCUGAUUAAAGUAGCAGAUUAAAGGAUGACAGCUUUCAAAACUAAGAAUGGUCUUCUUAAAUGCAUGGUGAUGCCCUUCUGACAUUUCUAAUACUUUUAGUACUUUUAUGCAUCUUAUGAAUCAUGGUUUUAAACCUUUCAUCGGCUAGUUUGUCGUGUAUACUUUGAUGACAUCGUGAUUUAUAGCAUAGCAAGGCGCAAGUGGAGCUUUUGGAGUAUCAAAUUCGUCAAGUGCUACGGGAACAACGUUUGUAUGCCGACCUGAAGAAGUGUCACUUUUGCACAAGGAGCCCGGUGCUAUGUUGUCUCCAACGAUGGUGUUAGAGUAGAUCUUAGAAAGAUGGAGGCAAUAAAAAGUUAGCCAAUUCCUAGCUCGCUGAAUGAGAGAAAAGCUCAAGAAUGUUUUUGGCCUUUUUUAUUUUUCAAAUAUCGUCCGAAUGUUAUGUUACACAAAUAAGGCCAGUCACUCCAUUUGGACGUAGCAAUUGAACUUUAAGCACAUAGACCAAGCAACUAAACAGACAAAAAAAAAAAGACGAGAAGAUACACACCAAAAAAAAAAGAAUAAUAGUACAAGGACCAACAUUGCCAUGACGUCUCAUCUUCGACUUUCAAUUUCGAAGGACACUUGGUUACUUAUGCUAUCAUCACUUCCUGAUGCAUUGCUUCUGAGGAUGCCAUCACAUUCGCUUGAUCUCUCACCAAGCAAAUGCUCAGCUUCUUCAAGGUCACCACUCCGAUUCAACCAUGGAUGCCUGUCCAUCACCCUCAUCAGUCCCUCCAAUUCCAUUGCCACUUCCUUCAUGGUUGGCCGAUCUUCGCCUUUCACUGUCAGGCAUUGGUUUGCCAGCAUCGCAACUUCCGUAAUCUCUUCCGAGUUCCCCUCGUUCAGCACCAUCGGGUUGAUGAUUUCGAACAGCCUCUCGCCCUUUAUUGCAGAAGCAAAAUACAAGGACAAGUUCCUCUCAUUCUCGGCCCGCUCGAAGGACAAGGCCCUCAGUCCAGUCAGCAACUCAGCUAACACGACCCCGAAGCUAUAGACAUCGCUCUUCUCAGUCAACUGGCUUGAGCAGAGGUACUCGGGGUCCAAGUACCCAAGCGUGCCUUGAACCAGCGUGGUCAGCUGUGUGCCGUCGAGGGGGACUAGCCUGGAGGCUCCAAAAUCAGCGACCUUUGCGGUGUAGUUUUCAUCCAACAAU